rnacentral:lncRNA from 1 species
ACUCCGUCACCUGAAUAUAUAUUAUGAUGUCUCUACCAACUGAGUUAUAUUUACGAGACGAAAAUAUUCAUUAAUUUUGUUUAUGAAAAAAAUAUACAAAUACAAUUAAUACAUUUAUUCAAUUAAAAUACUAACCUACACCCUCUUUGAUUCAAUUUAGUAAAAAAUAUAAGUAAACUUCAACAAAAUUUACUAUAUUCCUCCUCAAUAAAAAAAAAAUAUAUAUGUUUGAUAUUAUUAUUAUUCUUUCAAAAAUAUCAUUCAAUGUAUGUUCUUCUAAAACAAAAUCACGUAGAAAGUUAAUUAAAGAAAAUUGGUAGUUUAGAGAAUACACCAAUUUGUUUGAUUACAUAAAAAAAAAUAUGAUUGCUAAUUUGAGUAGUUUUAAAUAAAUAUGAUAUAAUUUCUUCGAAAAAAACAAUACGAUAUAAUUGUAAAGGUAAUGAGACAGGAAAAUGAAAAAAUUUAUACUGAGAGAAUGACUGAUUGAUUUACAUGAUUUUAAAAGAUUAUAAUUCAGCAAUAUGAUGUGAAAAUGCGAUAAAAGAAUUACAUCAUAAUAUAAUAUACUUUUUUAUAAUAUAAUCCAAAAAAUACAUUUAAAUUUUUUCUACGAUAGGAAGGCCAUCUACGUUUCUUAUUCGAAAAAGUGGAUUGACAAUGUCUGUCUGCAUGUUACUAAUAAUAAUAAUUUAAAAGCUCUUUAAAAAAAAAAGUUAAGAAAAUAUAUAAUUAUAUAGUGAAAUUUUGCCACUCAUUGAUCUUAUCCCACUUCAGGCAUCAAUCUCAACAGAUAGACGUGAAGGACCCAGUUCACACCAAAAAAAUCAUACGUUAAAACUUAAAAGCCAGCUAUAAUCUAUUGCAACCUAUAGUUCUAUCAAGUGUAAAGAUAUGUGGCAAAGGUUAAAGGGCAAAGGCAGCCAAAAUCAAUGAUGCUUUCAUUAUAUGCGGCAAAGGGUAACGGCAGCCAAAAUAUUGCCGAGCUAAUGGUAACUAGCUGAUUGCAUAUAUGAAGAAAUAACCCUCCCCAACAUUUUUUUUUUGUAUAUAUAUAUGAUAUGAUAUGAUCACAUAUUAAUUUUUUUUAUGAAGUUAAAAUGAAAUUUAUUCAAAACGCAAAGAACCCUAGCGAGCAUAAGGAAUGCUAGACUAGAAAUCUUAAAGUAAUAACAUACAAAGAAAAAGUGUGUCGUGUAUAUGCGGAACACCCAAACAAACAACCAUACAUCAAAUAUAAACUUCUAGAAACAAACCAAAAACACCCUCAAACUUCCACAAACAAAUCAAAAACACCCUCUACUGAGGCCCCAAAAAGCAAUAAAAACUAAACACCAAAACUAAGAAGUCAUUUCCAAAAACUAAAGUCUAAACAUCCGCUCAAUAGCAGAAACAAAUCUUGUGCCAAAUCGUUGCAAAAUCCUCCAAAAUAACCAUCAAACCUACCAAAAACUCGUGUAAUCACACAUUGCUUCUCUUCUGCAGGUGAGUGCAAUUAAACACAUGUAAACAACCAAAAAAUCACCACCUAGAAAACACAUACAACCCCACAAAAUCACAAUGAACUGGCUUGAAACAAGCAACACCGUCUAACAAAAACCACAAAAAACAGAACUACCACCGAAAACCACCACUAGCCACUACACGCACCACCACAAAAUUACGAGCGCAAUGAUGACAUAUUAAUUAUAUAUAACUAGCGUUUAUUCGGACACUUGGUACACGUCUGUCCGUUCAUUUUAUUGCACUAAUGUAUAUAAAUUACGAGCGGUAGUUUUUAUGAAAUUUUAAUUAAAAUUAUAGGUAUAGAUAAUAAAUGUUUUGCACUUUCAUAUUGGAACAAACUAUAUUUAUUUUUUUCAAUGAUACGCACAAUAUAAAAACUAUAAUAUCUUUGAAAAGAAAUUAUCAAAUAUAAUAUAAAUUCUUAUAUUUUUGAAUGACAUAAACAAAUAGUAUUCUUUUCUUAAAGGUAUAAUUGGAAGGAGAAAAAAUCAGUCGAAAGAGUCUACUUUCUUUAUAUAUAUAAUAUAGAAUAGAUACAUAGUCCGCACUAUAUAUAUAUGUGUGUGUUGGGGUUCAAACCCCGAAUUAUCCUGUUAUUUACCUUAUAUAGGAUGGAUUUCUAGCCAUCAGAGCUAGGUUACUUGACAAAAUGUAGUCUUAAAUAUGAAUUAACUAAAUUUUCAUUUAUUAAAAAAUAUAUUUGACCAAUUAUUUUGUGACAACGUUUUGACAACUCUCUCUCAUACUCACAUAAUGUAUGUACUUAUAAUAUGUUUUCCUUUUUCUCUCUAUAUUGUUUUUGACCAAUGACAAGAGAGAAAAAACAAGGUUGUCACAAAAUUUGUUAUCAAAUGAUUGUUCAAAUAUUAUUACUUAAAAACAAAAAUUUUAGCCUUGUUUUUACUAUAAGCGUCCAAAAGCAAUCUUGCUAUUAGUUUAUGAAAACUACUAUUCUCCCUUUCAAAAUUGUUUAUCCCUUAUACCGGUGACAGUUAGCUACCGCUGAAAAAUAUUGAACGACAGUUAAUUGCCGCUGAUAUAAGGAAUGAGCAAUUUCAUAAGUGAGACGAAUAAUUUUCUUAGGCUUUGUUUGCGAGUUUGGAGGGGAAGGGAUGGGAGAAUUUUGGAAAAAAGGACUGAGCAAGUGGAAGAAAUAGAGUACAUUGGAAGAUGAGGGCUUUGGGGGGUUAAUUUUUCUUCAUAAUAUAAAACCCUCCUCAUUUGGAGAACUAAAACUUGUAUUGAAGUAGGGUUUUGAGGGAUUUAGAGGGUUUAUGUGAAUUAUUCAAAUUUGUUCUAUGUUGUUAUAAUAUAUUCUUAAUAUUAAAAAUAUAUGAAUCAUAAAUAUUAGUUUAUCAUUUAAAAAAAAAAUACUAUUUUAAAAAAAUGUGAAGGAUUUCUUCAUUUCCCUCUAUAUUUUUCAUCCCCACAACUCUUCCUUCCUCUUUCCUCCAAACUCUCAAACAAAACCUUGGUGUAUGGCCCUUGCCUACGGAAAUAAGAUAGUAGAUCAUCCUGAUAUUUUGCUGGUUGAUUAGCAAACUUUGGGCCAUGAGAGCUCGUGUGUUGUUGCCACUUUCCCAUCCUCAGACCAUGUUAGGUAAUCGACUGUUAAUUUGGUCCAUGUGGUGUAGACCCAAACUGUCGAAAUUUAUGUUUUGAUGUUUCUGCUUCAUCUUUCAAUCUUAGAAAUGGUGUGGAAAAGUGUUCAUUCCUUAGAUUGUGGGUUACAUUCCUAGUAAAAACAAUAUGGAGUAAAUAGGUAGAUUAAUCUUUAAAAUUGUAAGCAUCAAUUAAAAUAGUCCUAUAUAUUUAAAAACCGGCAAAUGCACCCCUUAAAUUAUAGUGUUAGUCAAAAUAGUCGUCCAUCAACUCUUAUUGUUAAAGUCUAUAACAUGACAUAACACAUUAACUAAAAAUGUUGUCUACAUUGAUCGCACAUGAAUGUCACAUCACCAGGGACUAAUUUGCUUAUAAAAUUUAUACAUCUCACAAACUAAUGUGUCAACAAUUAGUCCAUAUAUAAUUGCAAUUGCCAACGGAUUUUCACCAAGAUUAUCUAAAUUGCAUAGAUACAUUAGCCGUCGGUGAGAUGAUAUUGACGUGAAAUCAUUAUGAAGUAUAACCUAUAAUGUCAUAGUCUUUAACGAAAAUACAAAAAAUAUACAACUAUUUUUACUGGUUCUUACCAUUUUAAGAAUCAAUUUAUCAAUUCACUAAAAAAAUUAUGGAAUGUCAUAAAUUAGAAAGAAAAAAAAAGGUGGUCAAAACAGAUGGUUUCUAUUUACUUUUAAGAAUCAAUUUAUCAAUCCACUAAAAAAAUUAUGGAAUGUCAUAAAUUAGAAAGAAAAAAAAAAAAGGGUGGUCAAAACAGAUGGUUUCUAUUUCCUUAUCAUAUUCAUACAUUUGUUCGGAGCUUCCAUUUUGAAUCAACUUUAAUUUGUAAUGUAUCCAUCAAAUCAAUGGAAGUGUUCCCAUGUCAUUUCAUUCAUGUUGUUACUAAUAACAUUUGAGAUGUCUUAUCACUCCCAACCCCAAUCCCUUUGAGUAUUCAAAUGGGGCACAUUGACAAAAACUUAAAGACAUAAACAUCAUCAAUCUUGCUCCUCAAUCUAGACAUAACUGUCAAUAGAAGAUCGUGGUAAUCGCGAGCCCCUCAAUGAUUGAAAUCAUUCACCGGUUGAUCUCUUGGUUCUUGACAUUGUAUAAUACUAGCUGCAGAUAUAUUAGAUCUAGAAUAUAUGUAAGUGGAUACAAUUGGAUUCUCCAUCCAAAUUCAACAACUCUGCAGUCAAUUCACUAGUACUUUCCACUCCAGUUACUUGCUUUAGGUAAACUGAGUGCAUAUUUGGAUUGAUGAUGAGUUUGGCAUAAUUAAUGUACUUUGUAACUUCAACAAAAUUACAUUGAUAGUGAUUACUGUACCUAAAGAUACACUGAAUCAAUUGUUCGAAACCAAAUAUUCCUUUCUACACCAAAUAGAAGAGUUGUCAUAGCAAGUGCAAGUUGGUCAAAACAUUUGUUUGGUCAAAAUAAUUGUUAGUUGCUGAACACUUCUUCCAACUAAAAAUGAAAUAUAAUUGAGUUAUGCAGUAGUUGAAAGGAUGGGAGAUUCCGAGCUAAGAGGAUACGCCUUGAGUAAAUCACAGCAACAAACAAAAGUCUCAAGAUAAUAACAAACUAUACAAAUAUAUUGAGAGAGGGUAAGAUAUCACUGAGAUAUAGCAGCCAAAGGAUGAUAUAUCACAACCAGUCUUUAUUGUUAAGGACAAGACAUGAGUUGAUGAUGUAGCAGUAUGGUUUCGUAUGGCAUCAAAAUAGAUAUCUUUCACUAUAAUAAUAUCAGAGAGAGAGAGAGAGAGAGAACAGUCCAACAUAACCACUAGAACCGUGGGCACGCAUGUCAAAACAUGUUUACCAGCUCCUUGAUCAAUAAUUGCAUCCACCUUUUUUCUCUCUCCCUCUCUCUCUCCCUCCAUCACUUCCAUCUGAUGCACUUUCGAUGCUCGACUAUAUAAUGUUUGAUGCAGCAACAAUUUCCCCUAUGGGUAGCAAACCUGAUUUUCAUCACAUGAUGAGUUCUUCAAUCUUUCUUUUAUGCUGCUUUCUCACACUCUCUUUGUAUUCCAUCUCCCAACACACAAGCAAUACUUAUUCUCUAGGUUUUACACCAGCAAGGAAGUUGAGCAUGUCCGCUCCUGGACAUGACCACAAAUUUCAUGAAACUCAGGUAUGUUAGUCCCCUAUUAAUUAUCUUAAAGAGUAAAUAGUGAAAAGAUAAGCAACAUGAUACAACUUAUUAUCAAGGAAAUUUCCUCGGCAUAACUUUUCCUUCUCCUUAGUGCAUUCAUACACCUUGAAUUUACUGCACAUGAAAAAUCAUGGAUCUCAAACAUUUGCUAAAGAUCGAAUGGCUCAUAUUCUAUUUCAUCAUAAUAUGAGUUGUACGAUCUUCAUUCAUCACCAGAUAUCCUUUCAAUGAGUAAUUUCCUUGACUAAAGGAAAUUUAGGUCCACCAUGCCCCUUUCCUUAUUGCUUCCAUUUCAUAACAUGAAUGUAUAAAAUGCAGGUAUCAGAUGAGGCAAUGGAAAGCACUCCAGCUAAUGCAGAUUUAACAACACUAGAAAUUACCGGCAACAGUUACAGUCCUCAUGAUCUUGUCUAUCAUACAGAUUAUCAUGGAGUAACUACUCAUCCAACUCCUAAGCAUCCAAAACCAUAGGCUGAAGAUUUAAUUUUGAUUUGUGAAAUAUGCAGACAUGUAUUCUAGUUCUUACCAAUAUAUAAAAUGUAAUGCCCUGUGUGUGGGAAGAGGAAAAAAAAAAGUUUUGUUUAUACACUGGACCUGAUUACAUGAUUCAUUUUGCUCAUCUAGUUUGACCAAUACAUUGGCACAUAACUUGUAAGCCAUAUAUAGUUCACAGAAACAUAGGAAAACUGAUGAGCUGGUCAGUAAGACGCUACUGAUGUCAAGCAUUCCAGUAGGUGAAUAUGAUCCAGUAAUUCUUUGCCAAAGCAGGAAAAAUUGAAAUAAAAUUAAAAAAAGAAAAAAACAUUAUUACAAUUUAUCAUGAAGUGAAAGCAUUCCAUUAAUAUAUUGUCUUCUUGUUUUUUUAUAUUUCUGAAGAAGCAUCAUGUGACGAGUUACAACAUCCUCAAAUACCACCUCACUACAAAACCUAGACUUCACAUUUAGAAAAGCAGCUUCUAAUUUGUCCUUGUGUUUGGUACACAAAGAGCAUAAAUCUUCAAUAUUGAAAGAUUUUUCUGUGUUGAAUCCACUUCUGGCUUCUUUUUCCAUACGAAGAACCUGAAGCCAUCGGAUGUGCUCAAAUGGAUCUUUAUUUUUCUGAAUUGCAACCUCUAUGUUACUCAGCACUUCCGAAAAUCUACAUUCAUUACAUAUUCUAUCAACCAAGUGGAGAAAAGUCGUUCUCUGCUUCUGAAUAAGCCUAUGAUAAACAUCUGGCGGCAAGGAAACUGCAGCAGUCAAGCAUGCUUUCCGAAAAGUAGGAUUAGAAGUGCAAAUAAUCCCAAUGGCAACAUGUAAAAGAUUCACAGACACAAGAUCAAGUUUUUGAGACAGAGAAUUAAUGCAACCAUAACACGGUCUUCUUUGGUUUUCAUUCCAGCAAUGAAGAGCAAAAUGAGCUACUCCUUCCCACCUGCGUUUAGAAUGAUAUAGAAUGAGCGAAACCAGAUAUCUAAAUCACCAUAACGAUAACAAGUUUCUUUAACAUGUGCUACAAUAUUGUGAACUCUUUUUAGCAGUUCAAUCUUUCAUUUGCAGUGAUGCAGUUGCUCCAUUAAGAAAUUGCCCGCCCCUAUAACUGCUUAAGGUCUCUUCAAUCGCCUCACCCAAUUGCAAGUACAAUUACCAAAUUGAAUUCAAACAUAACAUAAAUCUAGCAAUCAAAUACAAUUGAAGUAAAAGAAAAAUCAAACAGAAAAAUAAAAAUGAUAAAUUUAGGAAGACGUAAUGGAUAAAUAAUCUUCCUAAAUAAAAGAAACCCGGUCAUAACAUAUCUCUCAUAACAUAACCAAACAUAGUAAGUCCAAGUUUCACUCUCUUCAUGCGGACUUGAGGACAACAAACCAGCACGAAGAUGAAAGGUUGAUAAUAUUACACACAUCCUUAUCAGUAGGGUAAUAAUUGAGGUAGAUUAAAUACUAUGAAAACUGGUCCAUGAAUCAGCUUUGCAUAAACAUGGGUCUCUGAAAGCUUGGCCCGGUGUCCUGCAGACACACUUGUCUAAUUUUUAAUAAUUGAUUUUAGAGUGGGUCACUCCACAUGCAUAGUUUCAGUUUUCUGAUUCAAGAAACAUCUAUCAAAUGAUUUUUUAAUCAUUCGAUAUAGUGCUAAAGCAGCUAUAUACAAGAACAACUUAAAGGGAAAAUAAAUUAAAAAUAAAUUUACUCAUAAUUCUUGGAAUCAACGAAAAUCUGAAAAAUAAUUGCUAAGGAACAAGAGGUCCGCCCAUGAUUAUGGCCAUCAUACAGUGCUUUGACUAGAUAGGAAAGAAUACACAAAGAUGUAAUGAUUAGUUAUAUUAUUUUUUUGGUUUCCCAAAGGUUCCCUCCACUAGACAUAAUGCCAUUUGAGGCAUAUUGGGCAUUAAAUGUGGGUACUUCUCCCAAAUGGGAAUCAAACCUUGGUUCACUACAUUGUAGGAGUCUAUAGGAUUGUCGACUGAGCAGUGUAGAAUUUUGUUUUCAGAACAUCUCUUAUUAUUUUUACACUGAGAGAAGAAAAACUGAAACUACUAAAAUAUGCUUUUGUUCCCUGCAAAUAUAUAACUUUUUGUUUAUAGUCCGUGUAAUUUAUUUAUUUUAAUCCUUGCAAAUAAACCACUUUUAUCUUUUGUUCCUUGUUAUUUUGUUGUAGUCCAUGAAAUAUUUGUUUCCGUUUAAAUUGAUGCCUAUAUGAGCUACAAAAGAAGUAAAAUGAAUAUUACACACAUAAUACAGAGACUAAUUCCAACAUAAACAAAUUUAACAGGAACUAAAACAAAAUAACAAGAUCAAAAGUAAAAAGUUGUAUAUUUGCAAGGAUUAAAAACUCGAAUGAAAAAUUUCAGACUAAAACCAAAAAGUGGUAUAUUUGCAAGGACUAAAAAUAUAUUUAAGCCAAUUGAAAUUAUAUUAUCUGAGCAUUUGUGAAAUCACUUGUUUGUAAGAAUUAAAAUAUGAACUAACUGGCGCCAAUUGGCCAUUUUCUUUCUAGGCAUAUCUACAUACUAGCCUCUAAAUCAGUAAUAGGUAGGAUAUUGUAAUAUCAUAUUAAAUCAAACUAAUCUCCAUUGUAGCAAUAUUAAUAAUGCUUAUAGUAAACAAAUGCAAAGCAUUCGACCAGGAAAAAAGAGAAAAGUCAAAAUCACACUAGAUAGGGGAAACUGCCAAAUAGGUAUUAAAGAAACUCCAAGACUAAGAUUUGCUAAUUUAACAGAAAAUAUUUCUGAAGGAUUUUCUGAUUCUCCAUAUAUAUUAUCCAUCCUAUGUUCGGUGUACUUCUGAUUUUCUAUUUUGAAAAUUGAAAGUAUUUCCAGAACAAAUUCAAGCAAUCCAUGAAAUUCAAAAAUCCUCAGCAACAAAAAGCCUUAUUUUUGACAUCGGCCACUGUCCGCACAUUGGUUAAGCAUCCACUGUCAAUGGAAGACAUGCACUGGAAACAGACCACUUAAUCCAACAACCAAUUGCUGGCAUGGCAUGUCUCCUUUCUCCGGUGGAUUUACACAUAAGUGCUUGACUACAGGGACAGACACUGUCUAAUUUACUACACUCAAUACCUGUUACUAGCCUGUGUGCACACCAAAUGUGAAAGUUUUAUGCUGAAACCAUAAUUCAUAGUUUUGCAAUUAAAAGCAUUUUCGUCAACGUGAAACAAAGGGACCCACAAAUAUCUACAAAACCAGUUAUGAACUGAGCUCAGAGUAGUCAAUAGCGGUGCUAUAGCGGCCGCGUGUAGCGUAGCGGCGACAAACCGCUACGAUAAUCAUCGUAGCAGUGCAGAAUCAAAUAGCGGCCACUUCAGCUGCUAUAGUGGCGGAGCAGAGUGUAGCGGAUAACAACCGCUUCAGCCGCUGUUUGAUUUUAGAAGGAAAUUUCCAAAUUGACCCUAUUUUUAAAACCUUUUUGAGAGCAUUUUGGGGAUUUUGUAAACCCUAACACUUUUCAACUCUUUCUCUAUUCUCACCUGCCCCACAAAACACACUCUUCUACCUUCCAACUGAUAAACACGACAUGGGGAUCUCUCUUUCUCUGUUCUUUUUUUCCUUCCUCUGUUAUUAUUUGUUUUAUGGUUUCUCUUGUUUUAUGAUUUUUUAUUUGUUCCUAUGUCCUUUGUUUUUUUGGUGUUUUGAUUUAUUAAUGUUUCAUGAGAUUUGAGUGUUAUAUUUAAUUUUAUAUUAAAUAGAAUUUUGUUUAUCCUUUACAGUAUUAUUAUUAGUGUAAUAUGUCCAAAAAAUCAUCAAAUAUCGGUGACUGCUUUUUGGCAUACCGUUAUACGCUAUCCCACUUUUGGGAUUGGCUGCUACACGCCGCUAUCCAAGAUUGACUACUAUGACUGAGAUUUUGCUGAUUUCUUUACACAGGUUUUAUCCAAUAUUCUUCAUCAAGGAAUUCUUCAUGAAAGAUUCAGAUCGACUUAAAAAUGUUGUAAAUUAUUUGCCUUUUCUUUUAUCUUUACAUUUCAAUGACUAGUUUAGCAAUCACAUGAUAGAACGGAAAGGCCAAAAUACCCAUUCAAAGUUCUAUACAAUUGAUUUGCAUACUUGCACCCAACAUCCUGAGCGAGAAUGAAAUUUACACAAAAUAUAGACACGUCUAAUUGUUUAUCUACCUAUAGCUCCCUCGGUCAGUCUCUUAUCAUCGAAAAAUAUUCACUUUAGAGUUCGGUUCUACUUACAAAUAAUACAUACACAUGCAAUUAUGGCAUAGUUGCAGAAAGUCUAAAGUUUAUGAAACAUGAAAAACUAUGUAUUUUCCUUUUUUCUUAAUUUGUGUAUCGUCCUAAUAUGACUGCAUUUAUGUAAUAGAACUUAAAAUGUAUACGAAAAGGAAAAUAAACAAAAAAAGAAAAAGAAAAGGGACCAUGGUAAACUUAAGUAAAGCUUACUGCAACCAUUAAAAAAAAAUUGACGUUAACAUUUACUUACUCAAAAGCAGGUUCAACCUCAAUACUGAGUGUAAGGUGCAACGAAAAUCCAGGAGAACCAUCAUCAACACCAUAAUUUGUAUAAGCCUCAUGUGGAAAACCUCUGGGAAUAUACAAUACAUCACCCUCCUUGAGAAAGAACUCUCUUCUUACAGCUUUUGUACAGUCAACAUCGGAACCACAGAGACUAUCAUAUAAGCGAGGUAACAGCUGACCGGGUCGAGAAAAUACUGUCCACUUCUUGGAGCCAAAAAUCUGGCAGACAAACACACAGUGAUCAUCAAAGUGACGGGCCAACCCUUGAGAAUUAGCUGGUGUUAAGUACAAAUUAGCACCUACUGAAGGUUGGCCAAACAUAAGUGCUAAUGUAUCGGCAAUAGAAGCAAUGCGCUGAUAUCGAAACUCGAGACCACGCAGAGCAACAGUAUAACCCUCUUUAUAAGCUUGCUCGCACUUUAAGACAUCUUCAUUAGUAAAAUACAGAGGUUCCUUAUGGCAUUCCGGAUGAAAGUAAUGUGUCUCUUUUCUGGAUUGGCUAUCGGCUUUUACAACCCGUAUAUCCUGCUGGUAGAUUAUAGGACAGCCUAGUCUAUCUUUCACCUCAAUUAGGAAAUUGAGGAUGUUUUGCUCCUCUGAAGCAAUAGGAAAACAAGACACGAGAUCUUGAAGGAUUGAAUGAAGUAGGGAAGGAACACUCCCAUUCCAGUUCAAAGAUUGUAUAAAUGGGCUAAACAUAUCAUUCACGUUGUGAUCCUCCGAUGUCCUUGAUAGAAGAAAAGGUGAAACUUCCCAAUGAUUUGACAGAAAAUCUUCAAAACUAGAACCACUUGUACCAAAAAGACCUCUUUGGACCACUUCAAAUGGCAAAGAGACACUAAGUUGUGAAGCAUUAAUGGAAAGCCUAAAGAUGCUGUCGGCAAGAUCACAAACUCCAACAUUACUCUUACAAAAACGUCCUUCUACAUUAGAUUUCACAUCACCUCUAAUCACCAAAUGAUGAGUAGCAUUUGCCCUUAUCUCUUUUAGAAGGCUCAGGAAUGCUUCAGAAACACUUUCAGGGAUAUUAUGUAGUUGCUCAACAUUACAGACAUUGAUAAGAACAAUAAUUGCACUGAGCAAAGCCACCGAUAGUUCAUCUUCCCUAAUCCCAAUCUUAAGAGCGUGAAAACUUUGAUUUCCCUCAGACAAUAAACAAACAGAUUCCACGCGCUUAAAAACCUGAAGAAACACAGACCUAAGGAAAUUUUCAAUAUAUCCAAAACAACAGAUUUUCAAGUGUAAGAUUUUACUUAAAUAGUUUAUUUUUUCCUAUACAGCGAUAAAUUAAAAGAGCAUGUUAGAAAUAAAAGCAUUGCAUGUUAGGGCCUUGUUUGGAUAAACAACUUAAUUAAGCACUAAUAGCAUAACUUAAUUAAAAACGUAUCAUAUAAGUGUUUAUGUAUGAGCUAUUUCUGUAACAAAAGUUGUUUGGAUUGACCUCUUUAAGCUUGCCUACUUACAUAAACAGUUGAGAGAUUGUAUAGAAAAACUUACGGAAACAGCUAAUGGCAUGUCCAUAAGCUGUUGUCAACUUAUUUCUAUAAGCUCCCUAUGAUAGUCUAUGAAAACAAGUUAUAGCUACAUAAAAACAGUUUGAAUUGAUUUUAUCUUUUGUUAUAGAAAUAGCUUAUACAUAAACUGAAAUAAUUCAAUCUAAACAGAAGCUAAAAGUAAUUGCAAUAGCAUAUAGCCUUACAUUAGUUUGUGCAAGGCAGAGAAAUUGAGAAGUUGCUGUUGAGCGAAAGCUGUGGUAGACAAAUCCAAAAUGGCAUUGCAAGCGGAGGAUAAAACUUUCCUAUCGGGAUUCUCCAACAGAGAAAUUAAUCCCUUGAUGGUUUCGGAAUCCGUAGCGAUUUCUUCGUUGAUUUCGAGGGAAACGAGGGAGGCAGCGCCGGUGAUAUCUGCGGCGCGGCGUGCAAUUGGGGAGUGUGUGGAAGAUAGGAGAGUUGGAAGUAAAGCGAGGAUGGGUGUGACGGAGGAGGAGGAGGAGGAGUUGGAGAGGAGAAGAGAAGGGUGAAAUUGGAAUAAGCAUUUUUUGAUGAAGGAUUGGUUGGUGUUGGAGUUUGAGUUUGAGUUUGAGAGAGAUGCAAGUAACAGAGCGAAUAGGGUGUUGGGAUGAUUGGAGAGUUGGGAUUGAGAGGAUGAACAAGAACGUUUCCUUUUCUUUUUUUUAACGCCGUCAGAUACAACAACUGCAUCACGCUUCUUCAUUCUUCUCGCUUUUGCUUGCAGAUACUCUGUUCUCUUCUCUUCUGCUAAGGGCGGGGGCCAAAAAGCACCUAUUCGAGAGUUGAGAUUUUAUUUUUUUAGGCAAAAUGUUUUUAAAUUUAAAUUUUAAAUUGUUUUUGUUAUAAAUUGGUCUUUUAAAUUUUAAAUUUUUUACAAUAUUAUUUUAUUUUUAUCAAAUUCAAUUAAGACAUGUUUAUGUGAACAUUUAAUAUUAAUUUAAUAUGUUUAAAUUCACCCUUCUCAAAAUUAAAGUUUAUAUGUGUAUUAUUCGAUCUUGGUUUCCAAAAAAUUAAUAAUUACUUGAUUAUUGUUGAUGAAUUAUUUAUCUCUAAAAUUAAGCUUGAAUUAAAAAAUAAUAAGAAGAAAAUGUGUUUAACUAAUCAUGCUUGAUAUCAUAAACACUUUUAAACUUACCAACUUAAUGUUAAAUGGUUGGUUGAAAAAUGGGUUACAAUGUAUAAUCAUACUCUAAAUGUAUUGAUCCAUUUUCUAUAUCUAAUUCUAUGUUAAAAAAAAUGUAAAAUAUUGAUCAAAAUUAUUCAUUGUCUAAAUUACAUUAUAGUAAAGCAAUAUUUAUUUGGUGGAUUUGAGCGCUUUAGAAAUUAACAUACUCUUGAUUAUAAGCAACCAAAAAUCUCAUAAUGUCCUUCAUUUUGUAGACAUCAUACACACUAACAUUACUUUUGUUAAUAUUUAGAAUCACAUUUAUCAUUGGAUUGUUAAGUGAAUCUUCCCUCAAGAUGAAUGCGUAAAGUUGCAUGUUGAUGACAGUUCUGAUGCUUCCGGUGAUAUUGGAUGAUAAAGUUACAUCUGAUUUUUUUUUUUUUCAUUUUUCAAAGAGCCUAAUGAUCAAGCUCUCACACUUAUGAAAGUGAAAAUUUGUUGAUUUGAACCCAUUCCGAUAGCAUUUUAUCAUUUAAGUUAUGAGUAAAUAGUCAAUUUUUCCCUUGAAAUUGUAAGUUUCGUCAAUUACCCCCCAAAAUUAACAAAACUUCAAUUACGCCCUGAAAUUGCAUAACGUUAAUCAAUUUACCCCUCCGUCAAAUUUUUCUGUUAACUGUUUACGGUUAUGAUCAAAUCCCCCCCUGAAAUUUUGCAGUUAUGUGCAAAAUAUCACCCUAAACUUAAAAAUUUAGAUUUUUUUCUUACCAAAAAUCAUACAUUUAGUUCUUCAAGUAGUAUAUUGUACCUAUUGUCAUAAAAAUUCUAUUCACAAGAAAAUGAAUGAAUAUAUACCAAAGAAAUCAUGGUUUUGUCAUGUGCAGCCUUUUCAUUCAUAUUUCAUAUUUAUCAACAAGCCUUGUUUCUUCUUCUUUCUGCAGAUAUUAACAUAUGAACACACAAUUAUCAAAGACUUGUGUACACAGUUUGUAACUUCGCUUAUAUAGCUUUUCUCUGUUACAUGUGAAUCACACUCCUGCUUUGCAUAAAUAUGCACCUACCAGCCACCAAGUCAAGUACCAUUUCAACCAAUUUAAUAUCAACAUUUUCUUCAAAUGAUGUUGUAGGAAUGAUGAGGGGAGUGCCUCGAUUAGAGGCUGAGAGAUCUUAAUAGUUGUAUAAUGUUUAUCGAGUUUGGUUGUAGCUUGUGAUAAAAUACUUUGUACUAGUAAAGAUACUGUGCAAGAUUGUACUGACGUUGAGAAAAAAAAAAUGGCGGAAAGCAUAGGUGAAACAUAUUAGGUGUGAAAUCCAGCCACAUGUGAUUGGGGAGAAUACUUUUUCAUAGAUUCGAUCCGUGGCGGAGCUAGAAAAAAUAUCGAGGAUGGGCUAGCAAAAUAUACUCUAAUAUAUAAACAUAAAUUUUUCAGUUGUAAUAAACGCUAAGCACAAAGUUUCAUCAAAAAAGUAAACUACAUACCUUAGAAAAUUAAAAUAAUUGGUUACGUAAUCCAACUAACUUGAAGGUUUUAAGGUUAUGAGUUUGUAGUUAGGUCGCAUUUUCAAAGAGGGAGAAGUUGUGUCCAACGUAACAGGGGAAGGGAAAAGGCUAAGAAUGUUGGGUGGGUCAUCUAGGAAAAAUAAUAUAAUCUGAGGAUAUUUUUGUAACUUCCCUAAAGAAAAAAAUAUUUUUUUUUGGGGGGUGGGCCGUGGCCCACCUCAGCUCUUUAAAGCCUCCGCCACUAGAUUCGAUAGAUAGACGGUCUCAUUAGGGACACUCUUUAAGGAUUCUAAAUUAAAAAGUCAAAUAUUUCAAUUUACAAUAGAUUGAUUACAUAAAUUAUCAACUAAAAAAAAUUACUCCAAUUAAGAUUCCCCCAAGAGGUACUUGCUGGGAAUAAGGAAACAGGGAGUGCCCUGCAGGCCUGCACAGGGGGCGCUGAUGAGGUGGCUGGGUGUAUUGUAGACAGCCUUUGUUUCAAUUGGAGCCUAAUCAGACAUUGCACGAAGCACUAAAUAACAUACACAAUGAAGAUGUAUUUGUAUAGGAGGUGUGCACAGGUCUCUCAAACAUUACCCUUCUAUCAAAUGGAAUAAAAUAGUAUACUAUUAUUACCCCUUAGCCUCAACUUUACAAGGCAGAGAGAGGUAACGUGACAUAAUUUUGAUGCGAGUAGUUGGCAGAGUGGACAAAGUGAAUAGGCUACAAAUUUAAUAAUUUGUCUUCAACUAUGAGUUAUAUUCUAUCCUAUUGAUAUGAAUUCCUUAACUCAACAAAAUGUGCACAUUCAAUCCUUACCAGGGAAUAUGAUUCACAUGCUCGGAGUGUCAAUAUGCAGUAGUAGAAUGCAGGUUUUUGGGUGUUCAAUUCAAAGACAUGAUGUUGCACUUGACUUGCUACAGGGAAACGAAGAUGGGGUGGAUUCCAUAAGUGAAAUUACCUUAUAGAGUUAUAAAGCAAAUUGGGCCAUCAUAAUCAGCUAAUAAAAACACUGAAAAGAGUUCAAAGCAGGAAGAUUGAUUCUUCAUUCUAUAUAGCAAUAUAAAUUUUUAGCAGCUAUAAUUUGUAAAUAUAUUUGUUCAGAGCAUUUGUAGUGAAUGUAAAUGUACAUUAGACGCAAGGCAGAACAAAUAAAACAAAAGGGCAACCAUAGAAGAUCAACAUCUAUACAUAAGGAUGGUACUGGAGAAAACUAUACAGGAGGUAUGUUAGAGAAUGAGAACCCUUUGUAUCCCUUGUAAGCAUAGUAUGCAAUCCGUGUAUAGUAGAAACCUGGUAUGAACAAGAUUGAUCCCAGUAUUGCAAAGAAGAGACCUGUAUAUCAUUCAAUAACAAAAAUUGAUCAAACAAAACCAAAAAAUAAACUAAUAUUAGUCCUAUGCUCAGGUCUAGUGAAAUUGUUUUCAUCUUCUUUAUUAUUAAUUUCUAAUUUCUAAUAAUAAAAAAAUCACAAUCCAAGAAAUUUUCUCAAUCAAUUUCAAAAAAAAAAAAAAAAAAGUUAAUUCUGAAUCAGGGAAAGAAAGAUGGAAGAGGAAAAGGAGGUGAAUGUUACCGUGAGCAGUGUCGCCGCCGACAUGAUUGUAAGCCAUGAGAGAACCGAUGAUGAUACCUAGGGUUCCGAAAACGAGAAGAGCGACGGCGAGAGCAAUCUCCUUGAUCGGUGGUUUGUUAUUCGCCGUGUAUGAUGUUUCCAUCAUCAUGUCUUCAUCGGAAAUCGAGAAUGCGUGAUCUACGUACAUUUUUAGAACUCUCUCUGAUUUUUUUAUUUUUUUUUUGUUUCACCUAAUUCAGAUUGUAGAUUCAGCUAAAGUUUUUGAUGAGCACGAGUAUCGUAUGCGUGUGUUGAUUGAUUUAUGCUUUCUUUUUGCUUUGAUUUCUGACUUUGUCUUCAAGUUUCAUUUUUUAGAAUCCGUACGCUAUUGGAUUUAUUUCUAUUCGCCCUCAAUAAUCAAAAUUAUACAAGAUUUCAACAAAGGUCUGCAUUAUUAAAGUAUUUUUGUUUUUGAAAGAGCAUUAUUAAAGUAUUAAAUCUUUUAUAAAAAUAUAAGGCUAAAUAUAAUUUUUUAAGAAGAUAAAUGUAAGUGUAAAUAUCUUAAUAAAUAAUCUAAAUAAUUAGGAAGUCUAAAGUAUAUUUUUGUCUCUUUAUAAUUUUUUUUGUUCCACCAAUUAUUUUUUUUGUCUCUUUUAAGAGUUUUAUACUUUAUAUAAGAAAGAAAAUUAAAUUACGAAAUUAACUAAGGCAAACCAAUUCAUCUGGCACCAUCUUCUAACAAGUUUUAGAGUUGAAGGAAAAACAUUAAAAAAGGGAAAUGUUAACCAGUGUCUGAAAGCAAUGGGUGGUCUUAAAUAGUAAUUUUUUAUGAAAAAUUGUGUAAUCAGUGAAUUGAAAAUUGAAAAUUUUGACAUUUGUAAAGAAUAAUUUCUUAAUUUAGCAUGUUUAAAGAGUGUUCCGGAGGCACUCGUUAACAAGACCCUUAAAAAAUUAUAAUAUAAGGAAAAAUAUAUUUAAUAGGCUAACAUAUCAUAAUACUAAUUGGUCUGGCCAUAAAUGUGAUAGACUGAAGUGCUUCAACCUAGAUCGUGGAUAAAAGGCUGGAGGAAGAUAUUUCGAAAUGAUCUUCAAUUGACCAUAAUAACAACAAUCAAAGAAUUCAUCUAAAAAAGAAUCCAAAGUUUUGCCCAUGAACUAAUUCUGUAUUAUUACGAGAGUCUCCCUCCAAUCGAGAUAUUGAUAAAACCCAAGACUAAAAACUUACUCCAAACAUCUCACAAGAUGAGAUCGUUUGAAAACUUUUUAUCUCUUCUAAUUUUCUUAAGACAUGCCUAACAAUCUUAAAAUAGUCACCACAUCUAGGAUCAAGUAGACCACUAGGGAUGCAAUACAGAGUUGAGCGUUCAGAAGAGAUAAUUUAGCAUGUGUUUAUAUUCACAAUUGGAGCAUCAUUUGCACGUUCCGAUGCACUUUUCACCGUGAUUUAAAGAAGGUGCAAAAACAAGCUUCUCCUCCAACGUGGUUUUUCCAUAGCUGAAGUGAAAAAUCCACGGUCAAAGCAAACAUGCAUGCUAUUAGUCAUUUUAAUGGAAAGAAAGGAUAUAGUGGUCAUUUUCACAAAUAGUGGCAUAAUGGUAAUUACCAUAUGGGGCUGAAGUAGUGGAAAAAAGGGUGAGAAAAAAUUCUCUCGCGAUCUGCUCUCUCUUUUCUGCUGUUUCUCUCCCAUUUUUGACACCUUGGAGCUUGCAUGUGUCAUCCUCCUCUUUAAUUUCUCAUUGGAAGCAAGGUAAGUGAAAAGAAUUUCCUCCCCCUCUUUUCUUCCUCUCAAAUCCGAACCUAACCCAUUUUACCCAAUUUCUUCAAUUACAUGGAAUUAAAGCCUUACAUGUGUGAUUUUCCAUGUAUUGAACAUGAAUAAUGAAUGGGUGUUGUUAGAAGCUGAAGGCUUGGAGUUGAACAAGAGCUGGAGGAAAGGGGGAAGGCUAAUUUGAGGUGGGUUCCUUAUUUUAAGUUUAAUUUGAAUUUGAUUAUAGUAACCAUGGGUUGAGACAUCGCUUUCUCUUAUGAAAUUAAUAUUUUCAGCCUGAUAUUCAAUUUUUGUUUCUUUCCGUGGUUAUGAAUUUUAUUAUUUAUGGAAUUGCUAAACAUUGCAGGAAUGGUAAUUAGUAAAACAGAAGUAAACUUGAAGAGAUUGCUUGCAGCUGCUCCUCAGCAGCAAAACCAGGCAAAACUUGUACAUGUAUGUCUGAAAGUAAACCCUGACUAUUUAUUGUAGAGUAAUCAGUAUCGUGUCAGAAGUGGAAUCUUGGCACAAUAGUUGAUGUUUACGCUGUGUUGUUAGGAUGUCACAGAUUUGUUUGAGUUAUGAAUUCGAUCUUUUUGCAAAUAUGCAAAGUUGCCUGCAAUAGAUCCAAAAUAGACCGGACCUUUGAAUUUCGACCCCAUUACGGCAGUUUCUUUAUAGCACCAAGUUGCCUUAUUUUAGGUUUAUGUUGGUCUCAAGUGACUAUAAUUUAUUUGCUAAUUUUAUUGAAUUUAAUCAUUUGAUUAACUCUUGAAAAGAAUGACUCUGCAGUAUGUUGCUACUUUGCGUGAACAACUGGAACAAUUGGCUGAAGAGAAGACUCCAGAAGGCUUGCCAAGGUAGUAAGUCUCUUUAUUUACAUUCUCGUAUACAUACAUAAAUAUCUAGGAAUUAUAUGGGAGACUACAGAGCUUUAGUGUUUCUAUAUAGUCUGCCAUCUUUAAAGCUGUCAAUUCUUGCUCUUAAUUUUAUGCAAGUUUCAAAAGAAAAUUACUUAUUCCCUUAUUCAUCAUUGAGAGCCAUAUAAAGAAGGACUUAUAGCCAGAGUUGGUUUGAAAGAUAUAACCAACCUGUUAAAAAUUGAAAAUAUAAAGGAGUAAAGUAAGGGAGAAGAAACAAUCUUCUUAUCAAAAUCUAAAUUCAAAAAGUAGGUACACAAUCAAAUCCUAAAGAACUAAUCAUAAUUCCUAAAAUACUUCUACACCGUCGAGAAUUUCAAAAUUAGCUAGGAAUGGUCUUUUGGUCAGGAUAUUCAUAUUUGCCUCUUGUUGUACAGUUGGAAUAAAUGGCAUGCAAGUAGCUUCAUCAUCUGUCUUUUCCUUUAUCAAAUUUCUGCCAACUUCCACAUAUUUGUAGGCAUCGCUGAUUUGUCAAGAAUUCUUUUUGGACAUAACAUCUCACAUACUCCAUGAGAUGUAUCUAUAUGUUCCAUAUCCAUACUGCUCCUAGCUACCACAUUUUGUUUUAUGCUUUUCCAUUUAACUAAAACCCUGCGCAAUAACCUCAUGUAGACUUCCUAUUCAUGAUAGGUCUUGUACAGUCGACAUUUAAGUAGACCUCAAUGGUCUGCUCUGCGCUUUUUUGUUGAAGAAAUGAUAUUUGGCUGGGACAUUUCAAAUUUUCUAAAAUUCCAUUAAAUAUGCGUUAAGAUGUUCUUCAUUGGCGAAUCUAUGAUCUGGCUAGCUAAACUCACUGCAAACGAAAUACCAGGCCAAUGAGUCAUGCAUAUUGUUCCCCUCAAGCUUUUGAUCAAGGUCAAUAAGAGUUUUUGCUGGCGUGCUAGCACUGUACCAUUUAAGCUUCUUCCUUCAAAUCUCCAUUUAGAAAUCUAUUCUUCACAUGUAGUUGUUGUCGAGGCCUGUCCAGAUUUGCCGCUGGGCUUUGGAAAAACUUAAUAAAGUUUGAGUAAAGCCUUUGGCAACCGAUCAAGCUCCGUGUAUUUCAAGAUCCGGUACUUUCAAAGAGGAUAAAAUUUUUUUUCAUGAAUGAGCAUUGUUUGGGUUUUAAGCAUGUAAAUGUUAAGAAUUAAUACCUGGUGAAAUUUCAGGGAUUAGAUGGAAAAUGAAAAGAUUUCAUUAAAUAUAGGAUUUUGAAUAACUGCUGUAAUAUAGAAACCUAAUUCAAAAUUUCUAUAUAAUAAGUUCCAAGUCAAGAACAAGUUUAGAUAAAUUAGUGUAAGCUCAGCUGACUAAAAUAGGUAACAAAAUCCUAUCGCACCAAUAGUACUAAUAUUCAAACCAUACAUACUUAAAAGGUUUUAGAAGACUGUGGUAUAUAUAUGGCAAAAUUACACUUUUAGUCCCUUAACUUAAUUUCAGGUAACAGUUUGGUCCUUUAUCUUUUUUUUCAUUUCAAUUUGGUCCUUUUUGUCCAUUUUUAUAUGAAUUUUUAAGCUUAAAAUUCAUGAUUUUAUUUUCUUAUGGUCUUUCAGUCUUCAAAUCUAUGAUCCUCGUCUAUGUUUGCAUAAGAAUAUAAGAUUUGAAGCUUGAAAAUGUAUUUGAAAAUGGACAAAAAGGACCAAAUUGAAAUGAAAAAAAGAUAAAGGACCAAACUGUUACCUGAAAUUAAGUUAAGGGACUAAAAGUGUAAUUUUGCCUAUAUAUAUGGACUCCUUUAUUUACAACGAGUUCUCUUUGAACAUGUCUCUCAGUGAACAUAAGUUGUAUUGUUCCUUGUUUUUAAUUCUUUAAGAAGAUCUUGCACGCGUAAUGAUUACAUAAUCAGUUUAUUUCCUCUUCUCUCUUUCUUAGAUCAUUGGUAAUCCAUGAUCUAAAGAUGUUAUAUUCCUGCUAUAUGUUUCUCUACUGAGUAUCUGCAUUCAUUGAUGUUUGUAUAUGAUUGAUUGGUCAUGCAGGAUCUCAAAGGCUACGUUGAACGAUUAUUCAGAGAAGACUGAAGCCAUUGCUUCAAAAUUGGUUCAUGUGGUAUGUAUUUGUUCGCUAUUGUAUCUUUAGAGAUAUUGAAAUGCAAAGGGAUCAUUAGAGCAACUGACUAAACAUUUGAGGUUCCUUUUCGCAUCAAUAUAAUGGGAAAUUUCAUUAACAUAAGUAUGAAAUUUGAGUAUUUGAAAUCUAGUGGAUAUCACAAAAUGGUUAAUUUUAUUUGUUUAUACCUGUUUGUUGAAAGUAAAAACAGAUUAAUGCAGUUACCACGUGGUAUAAGAUAUCAAUGCGUUGCAAACAAUUUCUUUAAUAUGAUUGUAAAUAAAUAAGCCCCAUUUUCAUCAAUAAAUAUCUUAACUAGUAUUUAUUUCACAACAUGAUUGUUGUAUCCCCUAUCAUAGCUUGCUCCAAGUCGUGUAUAGUAACAAAAAAAUUCUAUAGCCAGCCAUGUCCUUUUCAGCCAAAAAAGUCGUUGUAAGUUAGUAUUUGUUUAUAUAUUUGCAAUAUAUGAAUUUCAAAUACAAACUUUCUAAAAUAAAAACCCUUUGCAAUAUAUGAAUUUCAAAUACAUACUUUCUAAAAUAAAAACUUUGUACUAACUGAAAGGUGCGCAGAUUGCAUAAACUUAAGUCUGAGCCUCUGAGGUCUGCUUGGUUAAGCAGGUGUUAGUGGUAAGGUGGAAAUUUAAUGAUAAAACUUCAAACCUGUUUGGUAUGACAAACAUUAAAGAAUGGCAAAUAUAAAUAUGCUCAUUUUGAUAGGUCACAGGAGAGAAGUACAAAAGAAAACCAACAAAUUUGAGGCAAAACCAUUAGAUUAGUUAUAUGGAUUAGCACAGUUGAAACUAUUUGGUGGUUAUGGUUUAAAAUGGUAGUAGCAUGAAUUUGGAGGAAAGGGCGAUAGAACAGGAUUCUGAAUUAUUGGUAUUGCAGAACUGACCAUUAAGCUUAGUUGUAGAUUGGGAAACCCAUUGUUGAAGAGGAAGCCCCUAGGAGAUUUCUCUCUCUCUCUCUCUCUCUUUUCUGUGAGGAUUCUCUAAACCUUUGAAGCUUCCUUUUCUUACUCUAUUUCUCAGCUCUAUUGCUCGUGUGUUUGUAAUGAUUGGCUCAAAUUCGUUUUAACUCCAUCAUUUUUUGCACUCCUACUCAACCAAUCAAACCUUAAUGAUUUGUUAUAUGAUGGAGAACAUCACAUUGCAUUAGUUAUAGUAUGUGAAGAGUGUAUAUAAAGUAUUUAAUGGCUUGAUUAUUGGUAUUUGAUUGGAAUGCAUCAUAAGGCAAUGAAAUUUCCUCCAUUGUUUCCUUUUUAUAUAUUCCAUUUUAGUUCUUGCUAAAUAGGCACGCUUAGUGAUUGUCAUAUAACCAUUUAAAUUUUCAGUCUGACAUAGAAGUAUCUGAGGACACUGAAAGAAAUGUUAAAGAAAACCCUUCUGAAAUUGAGGAUAAAAUGCCGAUGUCGCCUUGUUCUGGGCUGCGAAGAAGGCCUGUGUAAGUUAAUGUUAACCUUUUUCACUGCUACUUGUAUUUUGUAGGCUGUUUUACUGUUACUCAUCUGAUUCAUUGGACAGAGCUGCCUCAAGCACUGAAGAUAGAGCACAUGAGCCUGAUGAGACUGAUCACUUAUCAUCUGUUAAACUGGAUGCUGCAGGACAUGCACAUAUUGAAAAGCACAGGUACACUUGAAGUUUGUGUUAUGAUGAGUCAGUACUACUGCAAUGAAGUGUCCAUAACCUAAAAACCUCAGGUUCCUAUGCAUAUUUCUUAAAAACAACAAAAGUAUAUUUGUAUUUAGAAAUAGAAAGGAUUUUUUUGGUACAUUAUUGGGCUAUUAUAUUGUUGGUAACUAACCAGUCACCAAAUGUUACUGAAUAUGUUGAACUACUAGGGUGCUUUAUUUGCAACUUUAUUUUAUUCAUCAUUGACUUGUUUCAGGACGUUUCUGAAUCAUUAUGUUUUGAUACCAAUACUCUCGCAGUUGCUAUUGAAUUAUAUGCAAAAAUGUUUUAGAUAGCUAAUUGUUAUUGUCAUUGUCAUUUGUGUUUGCUCUCUCAAUGCUUUGCUUUUAACUAUAUGAAUUGUUUUUUCACUGUUCUGUCAAUUUUUUCACUUCUUUGUUGAAACUUAUAUUCCUCAGAAAGCUUCAAGAUGAUUUGACAGAUGAGAUGGUGGUGUUGGCAAAACAACUCAAAGAGAGUAGUCUCAUGAUGAGCCAGUCUGUGAAAAAUACUGAAAAGGUCUGAUUCUCAUUUUCAAUCUCUCCUUCUCUAACUUUUUAUUGGCUGUAUGACUUGAUUGUGCAAAAUGUAUCUCAUUUUGGCAAUGAGGGAUUGUGGAUGAUGUUAAUACCUUGUGAUGGUGGUCAAUACAAUCAGUAAAAUAUGUUUCUUAUAGAAUAAUAUCAUAUGAAAUAUCUCUUGUGAGGUUUUAAUUAACCCAAUGAAUGAUGGCUUGCUUGCAGAUACUUGAUUCUACUGAAGAGGCCAUUGAGCAUAGCUUGGCAAGCACAGGUCGUGUCAACGUAAGAGCAAACACAAUAUACUCGGAGAGUUCCAAGACGUCUUGCUUAACGUGGCUUGUGAUGUUUGUAAUGACGUGUGUGUUUGUCAUGGUUAUUCUUUUAAUCCGUGUCACAUAGGGUGCAGUAAACACUUCAUAGGGUAAAUUAAAUUACUUCAAACAUAGCUAUUUCCAUAUUGUAAAUUUUUCUUCUAUUCAGAUUAUAGAAGUUAUAUCAUGCAGUUUUUUUUGGGAAGGACGUGCAAAUUGUUCUACUUCAUUGUAUAAGAACUGUAGUAUUUUCUUCAUAUUAUGUAUAGAUUCAUUCAAAUAGACUACAAUAACUUUUACAUAGCCAACACAUGUUUGUUUAGUUGGUAAAGAUUCAGCUCAUAUCCUCAAGGAGCAACCGGAAAACUUUCUUUCUAUUCAUUUAGGAGAAAAAAAGUUUAGUUCCUUCAAACAUUUUAUUUAAUUUGUGUCUAUUUUCCUUUUAUACUAUUGUAUUCCUUCAUUAUCAUAGAAACUAUUUUGUAUUCUUAACUGGAUUAAAUAAAAACAAUAUUUUUUUUUGUAAUGGCGUUAGAUAAGACUAAAAUGAAAUUCAGGUUUGAAAUAAACUUAAAAAAUAGUUAUAAGAACCAAAUAUAUUGAAUUCCAAUUAUACAUUUCUUCUUUUGAAAGGAUAAUUACAUAUUAGGCUUGUUUGUUUAAGUUUAUUAAAAAAACCUCAUUUUUGAUAUUUUAGUUAUGUUUGUAUAAUUUAUUUUUUUUAUAUAAAAAAAAAAUCAUUAUUUUUUGUCAUGUGAUAAAAUUCUGAAAAAUCUUUUUUUUUUUUUUGUUAAAAUCAUUUUUAAUGAAGUGUUUUAUAUCAAAUAAAAGAAUUUUAUUUAAAAACUUAGGCUAAAUGAAUGAUGCCUCAAUUUAAAGCAGAUAAGACUUUAGGACUUCAUCCUUUCAAAAAAAAAAAAAAAAACUUGAAAAUUGUUCUUCUAACAUUCAUAACUUCACAAUAACACAAGUAAAAUACCAAAUUGCCUUCGGCGAUAGUUAACUACCGCUGAACCCAGCGGCAGUUAACUACCGCUGAAAAGUUGCUUUUCCGUUUACAAUCCACUUGCUUUUCUCUCUCAUCCCUAUCUUUAUUCAUUAUCUUUCAUCAACCCACGUGCUUUUCUCUCUCAUCCCUACCCUUAUUCAUUAUCUUUCAUCAUCAUCAGACUCAAAAUUUCUACACAAUAAAAUGUUGACUUAGAAGUAUCAUAAACAACUUUUGUUUCAAUAUUGGGAUGGCAAUACUUGGUUAGCUUGAAGAUAACCUUCUACCCAUUUACCAUUCGCUUAAUAACGUUUAAUGCACCAGCCAAUACAAUCUGCUCUUUAACUUUAAAAAUCUCUGUUGUGUAAAUUUUUGCAGCAUCAUUCUCAAACUCUUGAAGAGAUGGGUCAACACAGAUUUUAAAUACAAAGACUUGUUAUGAGCCAUCAACUCAUUGUUUCUAUAUUUUCUCAAAGUUUGGCUCAAAACUAAGCAUAAAUUCCAAAACAUUGAUUUUCUUCAUAAUAUAUUCGGUGAUGAUUGAAUUAAGAAAGAUAGGGAUGAGAGAGAAAAGCAAGGGGAUUGUAAACAAAAAAGCAACUUUUCUGCGCAGCGGCAGUUAACUUUUACCGGUUAGCCCAACGGUAGUUAACUACUGCUGGGGAUAAUUUGGUAUUUUAUUUGUGUUAUUGUGAAGUUAUGAAUGACAAAAAAGCAAUUCUCAAAAUACUUUAGGACUUCAAGCACGCUUGUAAAAAAAUUUAAGUUAUCUUCCUUCUAGUAUAUAUUAGUAGAGACUUGAAGCCUAUAUGAAAUAAACUCAGUGACAAUAUAGAGUUGGCUUAAUACAUGUUUUGGUCCCUUAACUUAUUUUUUAUUUUCACUUUGGUCCCCUAACUAUAAAAUGUUUCAAUUUGGUUCUAUAAAUCUUCUGCCGUUUACCAGUUUAGUCAUUUCCGUUUGUUUUUUAAUGUUAAAUAUUUUUGAUAUUGUUUCAACCAUUCGAUUGCAGGUCCAUUGUACACCACACUGAACCACCAACAUCUAAUUUUUUUCCCAAGCUUCAUCUUCUUCAUUCCACCACUUCUCCAUACAAUAGACCUGGAAAAAAAAAAAUUUAACAUUUAACCAAAAAUAAAACCCAGAUUCAACACAACAAAUAAAAACAUAUUGCAGAUUCAUUAAAAAAAUAUCAUAGAAAUCUUCAACUACAUAUUAUCUUCACCGACAUUCAUUAAAAAAAAAUCCAGAAAAAAUGAACAACUCAUAAUCAAUUAAACAACAUCACCACCAACAACAAUAUCAUAGAAAUAUUCAUCUCUUCUUCCUUUCAAAAAACACUACAAUGACCCACAUAUACAAAAUUGCACACAAUUUCACAACACACAAAUUUUAAAAAAACUUCAAAGAUCUUCAAAUUCUUCUUAUCUUUUCUUUCGAAUUCUUUCUCAUUCUUCUAUUCUUUUUGUUGAAUUUUUCGAAAAACCCCUUACCCUUAAUUCUGGGCUUAAUUCGAGUUGUCGUUGGUUUAUGGGUUUACCUGACAUUAGUUUAGAGAAGAGAGUGCUGAGAGGUUUUUUUGGUUUAUUGGAUUUGAGAAUUUUUGCAUUGGAUAUUUUGGGGUAAGGAUGAAACGAGUCUGACGGCGAAAUUGAAUUUGUGGGAAUUGAAACAGUGUAGUGUGAGAAGGUUUUUGAGAAAAGAAGCCAUGAAAAUGGAAGAGGCGAGUGAUAUUGUGCUGAUGGUGUAAUCAAUGAAGAAAAAAAAGAUGAUGUUGAAGGAGAGUUUAACUUAUGUUUGUUUUUCUGACCAUGAAGAAAUCGUUGAUGUUGUUGUUGGAAUGGAAGAUGAAUUUUGUUAUUAUGAAUGAGAGUUUUGUAGUUUUGAUUUUUUUUUUUUUUUUUUUUUUUUUUUUUAAGAUGAUGAAUAGAUAUGAGUUUUAUUUGGGGAUGAAGAAGAACAUAGGGAAGAAGAUGGAGGAAAAAAUUAGGUGUUUGUGGUUUAUUGUAAGCAACAAUAGAUUUCUCCAUGAUCCAACGGUCUCCAUUUAAAACAAAGAUCAAACAGUUAAAAAUGAAAGAUUUAAUAAAGUUUAUGGUGGAUCAUCAAUAAAAUUGAUUCACCUAAGACAUUUAAGGUUAAAAACAAACAGAAAUGAUCAAAAUGGUAAACGGCAGAAGAUUUAUGGGACCGAAUUAAGAUACUUUAUAGUUAGGAGACCAAAAUAAAAAUAAAAAAUAAAUUAAAGAAUCAAAUCAUGUAUUAAUCCUAUAAAGUUUGUCCAUGCAUUGGCUUGUUGCUAUUGAUUGUUUGCUUUGUUUGUUUAUGUUUUUUUUGCUGACUUUGUUUGCUGACUUUUGUUCCUAACAAUGGUAACUGAUUGAUGCUGAUGGUGGAUUGAUGGUCUAGAAGGGUGGUGUCCCUUAUCACAGAUUUCUUUUCAAACAAAUAAAAUAAAAAUCUUAAAAUGUCGGCAAAUAUUUAUGACAAAGUACCCCAAACUGUCGUAAUGCAUGAUGUAAUGCAACUCAAUUAAUUAUGUGGUUUUUGCCUAAAACAAUUAUGUGCUUUUUGUUAAUUAGUUCCAUUCAUUUUCUGUGAACUUGCUGCUGCUCUUAUUCGCAAAAUAAUUCAAAAGUAAACAUGCCAUGACGAGUGUCUUUCUACUCUAUUUUUCGAAUUAAAUUUCACAUUAUGUAUUAUAUUAAAUUCUCGUAUUGUAUGGAUACAACUGAAAUAUGAAAAUAAAUAACUAUUUGUAAAAUAUUAAAAACAUUUCAGAAAUAAUGAAAGUAAAUGAAAUUAUAAAAUACAAGCAUCCUUCGUAAUUAAUACUAAACUUGCACGCUGUGCUUUAUGUGCUGUUUUUGUUGUUUCUCUUCAAAUUUUAAGGUGUUAUAAAAUAAACAUAUAUAUUCACUUAAGAGUUUAACUGUGGUGGGUUAACGGUCCAAAACAAUUUUACACACACGACCAAUCAAAAUAUUUUGAAUUACCACGUCAAUUAAAAAUAGAGCAAUAAUUUAAUUGACGUGGUAAUUUAAAAUAUUUUGAUUGGUUGUGCAAAAUUGUUUUAGAAUGUCAAAUCAUCACCAUUAAACUCACUGUUAAGAAAUUAAAAUAUAUUUCAUUUUCCUAUAAUUAGUACUCAAAUUAAUAAUUACUCAAAAAUAAAAGUACUCAAAAUAAUUAUAUGUAAGUUUUUUAAAGAUAAAUUAUUGUACAUAGGUCGGAUAAUAUGAUUAUCAGCAAUAUCAAAUUUCGUGUUGUUUCUAAAUACUAUAUCAAAUUUUGUUUUGUUUCUAAAUCUUCAUCGUUAAGUUUCUAAUUAGAUUUAGUCAACAGCCAAAAACUGAAAAUUAAUGAGUGAUGAUCCUUUUUGAACCAUCCUAAUUUUCUAACGGUCCACAUUAGUCAUUGAUAAAAAUAAACUCAAAUUAGUCUCUAUCAUUUUCAUACUAUGAACAAAUUAUAAUAGAAUGUUUAAUUUGUCUCGAAUAUGAAAAUGUGAUGGACUAAUUUGAGUUUUGUUUUUAUCAUAAACUCUUGUUAAAAAAUUGUGAAAGACCAAAAUAUUCUUCACUCUUAACAAUUAAGACACUCAUUUUUUUAAUACUCCCUUUUGUAAAAUCACAACAGUCACCGUAAUUCAUCCAAAUUCAAGGAGAUUAAAACAUGCACAUAAUAUAGCAGUGGUGUUUACUAAUCAAACCAAGAAGCAAAACUAAGGACGAUAUUGGCUAACACUAAAGAGAGAAUGACAAUGAUCCCCACAUGAUUAGAAUUGCAUUUACUUGGGAGUAUUCUAGGAAGCUUCCUUGUCACUGCACCUACAAGUACAAUUUCGUAUUCUCACUAUGUCAUUCUCCACAAUUCAAUGUACACGUGACAAGUAUUUUUUCCUUGUAGGUACUCUUUUCACUGUCAUUAUUAUAAUACAAGAUAUAAUCACUUCAGGUAGGCCUUUCAACAUUUCUCUCUUGCUUUUCCUUCCUCUAGUUUUUUGUAAGCAUGGGAUGCUAGCAAUAGCAUUGUUCAAAGAAAGAGCAAAACAAACAACUAAAUGGGAAACUGCUUGACUACAAGUCUUCAAUCCUCAGGCGAUUGUCCCAACUCUAGUACUGCCCCUGACAACAACAAUCAAUCAGGUAAUUGAACCAACAUGUCCACAAUUUUAUGUUUGAAAUCAUAGAAACUAUUCAUCUUAUGUUUGAAAUCACAUAUUCUUGACUUGAGGAGAAAGAGAGAACAUGCUUUGGCCUUGGUGGCCUUCUAUUGUUCAUGACUUGUCUUUGUAGUAUAGAAAUAGAAACAGACAAGUUCAUUUCGCGAUCUUCACUCACUUCAUGUUUUGGAAGUUUGAUGUCAAAUUCAUCAAUUUUCUGAUAUAGUUUCAUAACAUGACAAACUGUAUUUCUCUUCAUGCUUCGACGUUGAGAUUAAUAUAAUCGAUAAGUGGUCAGGCGCUCGAGCUUAUGGGAGCAAGAGCAUCUUCCCUUUAAGCUUGGCCCAUCUGUAUCUUGGAUUUGUACUUGGAGGGUUGGAGGUGCAGGGUGAAACCCCUCCUAGAGAUAAACUUGUAAUUUGUACAGUGGUAUUUAAACAUUGUAUUGUAACUUUGCCUAAUCAAAAAACUACAGCAGCAACUGUCGGAGACAUAAACACAAUUAGCCUAUCUCUGCAAUCAAUUGUUUGUGUUCUUGUUUUGGAAGUUUGAUUUCAAAUUCAUCAAUUUUCUAAUAUAGUUCAUAACAUGACAAACUGUGUCUCUCUUGAUGUUGCAAUGUUGAGCAGGACUCAUUCAUUUAUAAGUGGGCAGUCACUUCAGCAUAGUGGAGUGAGAGUGUCUGCCCUGUGGGCCAGGCCCAUUCAUAGGUUGGAUUUGAACGAGGUGGGUUGGGAAUGCGGGGGUUAAAGUCGUAGUAGUAUGAUUUAGUGGUAAACUUGUAAUUCAGACAGUUGUAUUUAAACAUUGUACUAUAACCCUAAGAAUUGCCGAAUCGAAAAACUACAUCAACCACUGUCGGAGACAUAAGCACAAUUAGCCAAACUCCGUAAUCAAUCAUGUCUUUUAUUGCGUGUGUUUAUUUAUUUAUCUGUUUUCUUUGGAAUCAAAUUUGAUAUUUUAUCACAUAAUAAAAUCACAUACCGUGUCUCUCUUGCUGUUGCAAUGUCACAGGGAGUAUUCUGUUUUCUGCUGGUCUCAGCAACUUAAGAUUGAUAAGGAAUGGCAAUUCCACAUCUCUUGGGCAUAGCAGCAACUCUGGAGGAAAUAGCAGACUAUUUAGUAGUAGUAAUAAUCACUCAACAGGCAAUAAUACAAGUACAUCCUUUUGGGGCUCUGAGAAUAGCCAGGCCUCUCGAAUAAGAGAUGAGGACGAGUUUCCUUAUGGGCAUAUCUUGGAUGCUUCAAACUUGAAAGUUUUUACUUUGGCAGAACUGAAAGCAGCCACUAGAAAUUUCCGUCAAGAUACUCUGUUAGGAGAGGGUGGGUUUGGUAAAGUAUUCAAGGGUUUUAUUAAGGAGAGAGCAGAAUCCAAAAAAGGAGAGGGUUUGACUAUUGCCAUCAAGAAAUUGAAUACUAACAGCAUGCAAGGAGUUGCAGAAUGGCAGGUAUUGGCAUUACUGCAUCAUGAGUUAGACUUUCAAAUUUAGAAGAUCACAUUCACAACUUUUGUUGCUAUGCGGUGGCUUCUAUUUAUAUUGAUAAUACUUUUUUUUUUUGUUGUUUUGGGUACAGUCAGAGGUGAAUUUCUUAGGAAGGCUUUCUCAUCCCAACCUUGUAAAGCUGUUGGGAUUUGGGCGUGAGGAAGAUCAGCUUUUUCUGGUGUAUGAGUUUAUGCACCGUGGCAGCUUGGAUAACCACCUAUAUGGAAGUAAGAGCUGAUAACAUUGUUGAAUACUUUACUAGGACAUCCACAAAACAAAACUACAAUUCUCCCCUCUUUUCGUGUUGUGUGUAUUUUCCUUGAUGUUAUUUUACUCUGCAGGAGGUUCAAAUGUUCAGUCACUUUCAUGGGACAGAAGGCUGAAAGUUAUGAUUGGAGCAGCCAGGGGACUAAAUUUCCUUCACUCCUUGGAGAAGAAAAUUAUAUACAGGGAUUUGAAGCCCUCAAAUAUACUUCUUGACAAGGUAACUUUCAUUUCAUCUUUUGGUGAAUUGAACAUCCACUAAGCACAUUUUGCUCAUAUUGUGAAAUAAUAGAAGACAGAAGUUAAUUAUUUCUCAAUUUAAUGGAAGAAAAUAUAUAUAAUCUUUUGGUUUGCAAUAGGCUUCCACAGCAAAGUUAUCAGACUUUGGCUUGGCCAAAUCUGGUCCUUCUGAUGAUCACACUCAUGUAUCAACACGGGUUGUGGGAUCACACGGCUAUGCUGCUCCGGAGUACGUUGCAACAGGUAACUUCUGCACUGCAAAUUUCCUCUUAACCCCUUCUUAAACGUGUUUCAAAAGCAUGAGGAGACACUAAAUUAGUUUUUUGAUGCCAAUUAAACAGGUCAUUUGUACGUGAAAAGUGAUGUGUACGGAUAUGGGAUUGUGUUGUUGGAGAUAUUAACAGGCAAGCGGAUAGGCGAGAUAACACGCCUUAGUCAGCCAAAGUCCUUACGUGACUGGCUCAAAUCAAAUCUUUUAAAUAGAGGGAAGUUGAGAAGCAACAUGGAUGCAAAGUUGGAAGGAAGGUAUCCACCAAACUUAGCUUCACAGGUAGCUCAACUUGCUUUCAAAUGCAUCCAAACAGAACCCAAAAUUAGGCCAUCAAUGAAGGAAGUUGUUGAAACAUUAGAAAGUAUCGAAGCAGCCAAUGAGAAACCGGCUGAUAAUAGAAAGAAGACUACUAACUCCAAGGCAGUUCAACAACAACAUGGCCAACCAGAUGGUGGUUAAUGCUAUGCUACCCCAUGAACACCAUCAUAUCCAUUGGAAAUGAUAGAUAAAUGUUUGCACUCAAUGGAGCCUAUGGUUAAAGAUGCAUCCCAAUAUUUUUGGAUUUUGGGUGAAGCCUAAGGAUAACUACGCGCAAAAUGGUGAACUCGUGACAAUCAGCUUUACGAGCACUCUAAAACUAGGUAUGACCAAGGCUUGAUGUUUCUUUUUAUAGACAAAUGUAGCAGUAAAUUAGUAGCAAUGCUAGUUUUUCAGAGUUUGAACCCAAGACCUCCGACAGUUAAAAUAUCUUCGAUAUCCCUCAACUCACCAAUAGAACAGCGUGUUUGGAAACUUCACUAGGCUUUGAUAAACCAGUAGAUGAUGAAGUUCUAUUUUUCGAGUCCAGUUAAUUUUGCAUCAUGUUCUUAGAGCUUGUAAAGUAUCAAAUUAUUGAUUAGUUUUUUUUUUAUCUGUAAAAAUAUUUAAUGAAAUACUGUAGAGAAAUUAUUUGACAUUUGGCUAUUAUUGAAACAUGAAUGUGCAAUAAUAAUAAGUUAUAAAGCUAAAUAGAAAUCAACAAGUGUUAAAAUUGCAGUAAGAACAUGAAGAGAAAAAAAUACCGGCGAUGCGGUGGUGCAACUGCGCAACUACUGCAUCAGGUGACCCGAAUCCAUCUUUUUGAGCAACUUCACACUUUCUUGUUUGUGAGCUCUUGGUAUUUAUUCAAAAUUUCUUCGAUUUAUCUUCCGAUCUAUCAAAAAAAAUACAUUUUGAUAUGUUUUUCUUCCAUGGAAAACUAUCUUGGAAUCGCCAAAUCGUAGAAAAUUAAUAAUAAUAUAUUGACAAAAGCUGAUUGGAUAAUAUGGAUAUGUGUAAAAAUUAAAAGGUUCAUUUAAAUGAUGAUAAUUUAUUUCUAUUCUUUUUUUAUUUCAAUAUUUUAUUUAAGAAUAAAUCAUCUUAUUCUCAUUUUGUUUCAUGUUUCUAAAAUUUUAUAUUGGUAUCGGUGAGAACAAUUGUUUCCUUUUUUUUUUUUUUUUUUGUUACAUGAGAAAAAAGACAAAGCAAUAACAAAAAUAAGAAAGAGACUACUAGCCGCGAUGAUAAACAACAUUCAUAUUAUCUAUCGUAAGUAAUAAACAAAACUCAGUUGGAGGAUUAAGCACAAUCAAUAUAUCACUCGUAGAUCUUGUUGCAAGCUUGACUAAAAAAUCAGGACACAUAUUGUCCACCUGAGAGUGUGACAUAAUUGAAAAGUCCAAUUCUUAACCAUGUGCUUUAUAAUAAUAACUAACUCAUUUUCAUAGUGGCGAGUGGAAACAUCAGCAUGCUGCACUAUGUGAAUAGUAUGCAUGGAAUGAGUGUAACAAAUAAUGUCUCUUAGACCUUUCUCCCAACAAAUUUGAAUCGCAUGCAUUAAUGCCAAGAUUUCGGCAUGAAUGGUAUUUGAGUAGCCAAUAUUACCAUGAAAGCCACACAUAAAUUGUCCAUCGAAGUCUCUAAUUAAGCCACCAAAUCCUCUCAUCCCCGGGUUGGUUUGAGAACUAUCAUCCACAUAAAGAAUAUAUGAGUCAGGAUGACCUCUUUGCCAAAAAAUAAGUUGAGGCUGAAUGCUAGUACUCUCCUUAUGCAUACCUCUAAAAGCUUGAGUGACCUUGAUCUUUGACAAAGAAACCAUUAGAGGCAUGCUAUAUCAUAAAAAAAAAAUUGCAUUUAUAGCACAUCAAAUACUCCACAUGGUAAUAGGAAUCACAAUGCCAAGCUUGUCAACAUUAUCAUGGGACCACAUGAAUAUCGAGCUAUCCUCCUCGGGUAAACCGAAAUUAGAACCCACCAUCAAGUUCCAUAGAGCCUUUGCUUGGUUGCAAUUAAACAAACAAUGAACCAAGGUCUCAAGUUCAUUAUCACAAAUAGGACAAAUGAAGUCUAGUGAGAUACAUCGAUAAUUCAGUAUAAUUCGUGUCGGGAUCACAAGAUGCAUCAAUUGCCAAAGGAAUAGAGGAACUGUCUUUUCAUCAUUCAACCAACUAUAUGCAGAUUUUGUAGUGUAGACACCAUAUGUACAAUUAAUGCAAAUCUAGUUAUCAGUGACAUCAUCCACUAGAUGAGUCGUCGUUUUCAAAAUCUUACUUAUGACAUCUUGGGGCAACAUGGUAUAAACAUUUUGUAGGUUACCUCUAUCCCUAGUAGAUAAUAGAACAAUUGUUUCCUUUACAAAUACUAAAAAACAUUAUUUUCAAUUUAUCUACGAAACGAUAAUUAUAAUAUUUCAUUAACAAUAAGAAUUUGGUGGUGCUUUUGAAGUUGUGUAUGUUGUCUCUAUGAAUUGUCUUAUAACAAACUCAACACGAAGCUUUUAAAAUAGUGAGGCCUAUAUGCGACGCUUGUAGAACAGUAGGUACCACAAAUGGAUUUUUACUCCACUUUCGAAUUUGCUUAUAUGAUUAGUUUUCAUUGGUUGUUUGGUAAAUCACCCAUGAUUUUUCAAAGUUAACCUAAAAUUUUUUUUUUUGCGGUCAAAAAAAAAAUUAAGAUAAGGAAUAGAGUUACCUACUUAUCGGCGACGCAUUGUGAAUCAAAUUCAAAAUCAAUCGACUCCAGUUUAAGAUCAUGCACUCGUUAAAGCGAGUAGAAGUUCCCCGACUUCACCUUCAUCUACUAAAUAUGAAAAGGAAAAUCAUUCCAUUUUAACUCUCACUACAAGAAAUUUGGCAUUUUGCGAUACUUAGUUUGCGACCCUUGAACUAGAACUCUCACUAUUAGUCUAUUGUGACAAUGUUGUUAGUCUAUUGUUGUAUACUAGGAACUAAGCCUUUUGAUUGAUUAUAUAUCCAAUUGAACAACUAAUUAUUAUAUGUGCUUACUUAUAGGUAAUUAUUAUUUGUCUAUUACAGACCGAUAUCUGAUGUUUCUAGUGAUCUUAGUAUCAAAAUAGGAGUUUCAUGCUAUGCACUUCACAAGGUAACAAGAAAAGCUUCCUUUCUUAUAUGUUAUUGCAUAUUCAGUAGUGUUCUUUGAAAAAUAAAACUCACAAUUUAUUAUUGAUUAUUGCAGCUAUUUAAAUUGAAUUUUCCAUGUCUAGCAUAUGCAAUCAUUCAACUAGGUUUGUGUAUUACAAGCCGAUAUCUGAUGUCUCUAGUGAUCUUAGCAUCGAAAUAGGAGCUUCGUGCUUUGCACUUCACAAGGUAAAAAGAGAAGCUUCCUUUCUUAUAUGUUAUUGCAUAUUCAGAUUUUAGCAGUGUUCUUUGAAAAUUAAACUCACAAUUUACAUAUAGUAGGGGUGAUAUGUAUGAUGCUACUAGAAAUCAUUAGUUUAGUUUUAAAGAAUAAUAGCAAUGCUUGCUAGGAAUAAACACAAACAGUUCAUGAACUAUCAUGGAAAUGGAUUUGUCAUGAAUCAUAUUGUUAUUGGAUUCUUAUUCUUAAUUUUCACAAACUGCGCUAUUGAAAUCAUAUUGUCAUUGGAAUAAACUCAAACUGCUUCAUGUAAUGGAUUCUCAUUUUUAAUUUUCACAAACUGCUAUUUAAAUCAUAUUGUUAUUGGAAUAAACACAAACCGCUUCAUGUUCUCAUACGAUAAUAAUAUAUUUAUUGUCUAACUUGACAUUGCAAAUAUAUCAGAAAGUAAUUAUAGUUUUAUUGCACAAUAAGUUAGCAUCCAUGAGUUUGGUGACUUUAUUGUUUAUUUUUGUUAAUUGGUGUGUUAUCUUUGAUUUGUUUUUAGGUGGAAAGACUUAGAACCACCAAACAGAGCAUGCCAUUCUUUGGAGUCUAUUCAUCGCUAGUUGAUCAAAACAACUUCUUCGUGAGAGAACAUCUACAUAAUUGAUUUUUUCAUGUAGGAACUCAAGAAACGUAAUUAUAUCACUUGUUUGUGUUUUAUAGAAUCAUUUUAUAUGAAUGUAAAAUUCAUAUUUUAGUUUAUGAAUUAGUUCAUAUUUGUUAUUUAUGAAUUAUAAUUUAGUUUUGUCAUAAAAAGAUGAUAGUAAAAAGUUUAUUAAAAAUUCAUGAAAAAACUGAUUUAUUAUUUUUUUUAAAUAAAUUAAUCAAACUGUGACGGUUCCAAACUGCCACAAUGGGUUUUUAAAAAUAUUUUUCAUCAAUUGCGACUGUUACAACCUGUCGCAACAUCCCUUUCAAACAAAACAAAAUUGUACUUUGUGACUGUUUUGAACCGUUGCAAUACGCAUUGCGGCAAUCGUAGUGACUGUUUUGUGAACUGUCGCAAAAUGCUGUUGCGACCUCAACAUCUCUAACAGUUCAAUAACCGUUGCAGAUGUGGAUCUGCGACCCUUAAAACAAUCGCAAUCCAUCAUUUUAAGGGUCGUAAAAUACAUUUUUUCUUGUAGUGUCUGAUAGACAUACCAAUGUCCACACUUUACAUAGUUAUGUUGAGUAGAAAUUUUAUCAUACAUAGGACACCCAAUGGUGGUCAUGCUGAAAAAAAGCUAGGUUCUGGGACGGACCCAUUUAAGAGGGAUUGUAGGCCAUGGCCUACACUUGAUUUUGGAAAAUAAAUAAAUUUUAGUACUUAAUAUAAUGCAAAAAGAAAUAAGAUUCAUCUAUUAAAGCAAUGAUAUUUGUACAUCCAUUUUAUGACCACUUUAGUGACAAUCUUGUUUUUCUCUCUUUUUAUUGGUCAGAAACAAUGGAAAGGGAAAAAGGAAGAUAGAAGAUAAGACCAUCAUGUGACUAUGAGAGAGAAAGUUGUACAAAAGUUAUCACAAAUUGUUUGUACAAAUAUCAUUUCUCUAUAGAUUAUGCCUACACUAUAUUUUUUGAUAAAAAAAAAAAAAAAAAAUUAAUGUGUGAGAUGUAUUGUUAGUCUUUAAAUGUGUCUUUAAUUUGUUAACGUGGUCAUCAAAUAAAUUUUUGCUAAUCAAUUUGAUAGAUAAAACUAUUAACAAAAAGGAUAUUUGAGAAUUCGUUUGUAAUUUUGAUAAAUUCAUAUAUGUGGUGAUAAUGCAUCACACAUCUAAGAAUCAAAAUGAUUAGAACUCUAUAUAUGACACAUUUAUUUAAGGUCUGUUUGGGAAAUCCAAAAAAAGAGCUUUUAGCUUUUAGCUUUUAGCUUAUAGCUUAUAAGCUUGUUUGACAAAAAAAACUCUGUUUGGUAACACUUUUUCACCAUGAGCUUAUAGCUUAUUUCACGAGCUUAUAAGCUAUUUUUCAGAAGCUAUUCCAAGUAGCGUUUGAGCUUAUAGCUUAUAGCUUCUCACUUUUUCUUUCAAUUUUACCCUUAUUAUUUCAUUUAAAUUGUAUUUUUAUCCAUUAUAAUUUUUAUAAUAAGCUACGUAAUAAAGACUACUAUCCCUUUAUUCCAAUUUUUGUAUAUAUAUCAGCUUGCCUUUUUUUUUUUUUUUGAAAAAAUAUAUACCUUAGUUUUUUUUUACGGAACAAAAUACUAUUAAUCUAUUAGUGUUGCUUUUUUAUUUUUUAUUUUUUUGAGGUAAGUGUUAUUUUCUUUAUUCUCUGUUAUUAGUAUUACUCUAUUAGUGCUACCUUUUUUUUUGUUUUUGAGGUAAAUGUUAUUUUCUUUAUAAAGUAGAAACACUUAAAUGAUAAUAAAUAUAAGAUAAAAUUUUAGUGAAUAAAAUUUAAUUUAAUUUAUAUACAUAGGAUAUAUUAAAUUAAUAAAUUUAAAGUAUUUUUUUUAAAGAAAAAUUAGUUUACAAAAUUACAAAUACUUAAAUUAAUGAUACAAUUUUUAUUAUGAAUUAAGAAUACCCUUUAUAUAUGUCAUUUUACAUUUAUCAGCUAGUUGAACCGCUAUUUUUACCAAACACUUCAGUUAGCUUAUCAGCUAAAAACUAUCAGUUAGCUUAUCAGCUAAAAGCUAUUUUUACCAAACAGAGCCUUAGAACUCUACAUGUGAGAAACAGCUAAAAGAUAUUAAUGUUGUCUUCACUAUUCAAAAUUUAUGUGUCACUUCCUGAUUAGGUUGCAACCAUGGCUUAAACGUAACAACAUGAGUGUGUGCUAUUGAUCAACUCAGUUCUAGACUCUAUCCUAAUUUUUUAUUAUUAUGUUGAAAACUCUUGUCUGCGUUUAGAGGCGUUUCUCUUUUAAGAUCCAAAAGGUCGAAUAUGUAGUGGAAUCAUUAAAAAAAAACAUCUCUUAGAAGUCGUUUUUGGAAAAACCAAGAAAGAGGUGCUGCAUGUUUCAUGAAAGGUACGUAAAUCUUUAGGCUUUGUUUAGGGGUUUAGAGGGAGCAUAAGGGAUGAGUUUGGAGGUGAGAAAUAUAUAUAAAAAAAAUGGAUAAAUCUUUUAUAUUUUUUGAAAGUGCAAUUUUUUUAUAGAAUGAUAAACUAAUGCGUAUGAUUAAUAUAAUUUUAAUUUCAGAAUAUCAUAACAACAUAAACUGAGUUUAAAAAAUUAAUAUAAACCCUACAAAACUAUCCCUAAUACAAUUUUUUAAUUCUUCCAACUGAGAGUGAUAUUAAAUUACGAAUAAAAAAUUAACCACUAAAAUUCUCUCAUUCCUAAUGUUUUCUAUUUCUCCUAUUUAUUCCUUUCUUUUUUCUAAAACCCUCUCCUUCCCUCCAAACUUCCAAACAAAGUUUUAGGUUUGAUGAUUUCCUAAGCCUUCCCCCUCAUGUACCGAAGGUUGGUGCUCCACCUUCCUCUUUCUCCUUGAUUUAAUUGUCUGUGUUUCAGUGGUUUGAAUACCACUUGUUCUUCUGCAUGGGUUGCAGGAUUGGUACAUACUUUUACCUUUUUUUACUCAUUCAAUAUUUUAAUCUUUUGCCGUUUAAUAGAACCCUGUGACAACUCUUAAAAUUUGGCUUAAUACUAAUUUAGCCCUACAAAAUUGAUUUAUUAAGUGAGAGAUGUCUCACAUUUAUAAAUAUAUUUUUUGGCUAUAGUAAAAUUUAUUUUAUUUUGGCUACUUUCAUUCAAGAAGAAUAUAUUAUUAAAGUAUGUUCCACUACACUCUAGUACUCACUUUUUUAUUGGAUGAAAUAAAUGUAUGUCCCACCAUUUUAUGUAAGUUCAAUUUUUAAAGUGUAAAUUCUCAAUGAUUUAAACUAAUAAGAUAGUGAGUAUUAAAGAGAGUGUUUAAAAGAUAAUGUUGCUAAAUUCCUCAUAGAAUUGUAGAUGAGAAAUAUUUACAAAGUGGAAUAGAAUUGUGGAAUAUAUUCAUACUCUCAAGGAGAAAGUUAGAAACCAUUUUGGUGAUUUAUUCUCAACCAUUUAUUCUCUAAAAACUUAAAGGUCAACUACAAUUAACUCACAGUGUUUAUCUAGCAAUUACCCAAUUUUGUCCACAAGCAGUCAUAUCCGUGGUGAGCUUUUGAAUUCCAUAAGAUUCCAAGACAAUGAAAAUGUUAUAUAUAAAUGCAUACCAUGCUCAUUAAUUUUUCAAAACAAACCAAGUAGCUAUAGGACAUUAACUUCAUUUUGUUCCCGUGUGUUAAUUCCAAACAACGAAAGGCUAAAUUAGAUUAAAAAACGGUUAUAAUAUGAGGUAAAUGGUAGGGUACAUAGCAAACGUCCAAAGCACAGCCUUUUGGAGUUAUUGGUGUAUGGUAGGUUCCAACCCGUUCACUUCACUGUGUUGGAGUUUAUUAAAAGGACGAAAUUAGACCAUGCAUAUAUGUUAUCACACAUAAAAAAUGAACAUUCAACUUUAACCUGCCUACUCAAAAAUCACAAAUUUAGGUUUCUUGUACAGGCAUGAAUUCCAUAUAGAAAGAUAAACUUCCCCAUGGUCAUAUUUGUAGUGUUGAGUUUAGAGUUGAGUUUAAUUUUUCUGAAAGACUGAUAUAAAACGUUAGUCUACAUUUAAGACCUAUAUUAUACUAUUAGCAUAUUUAAACAAAUAAAAUCGCAUAUGUUUAAGUAGACUAGCAAAUGUGUAACCAAAAAAAAAAGUAGACUAGCUAAUGAGCUAAUAGACAAAUGAUCAUUAAACUAAAUUUUGAUAUUUAACACGACAUUAAUUUUAGAAAAUCCAACUAUAUAUAAUAUCAUAUAUCAAUUCUUAUUUAUCAUAAUACAUUUAAAUAUACAAAGAGAAAUACAAUAAUAUAGACUAAGAAGAUUAAAUUAUUAAAAGGGUUAGUUAAAUUUUAAUUUAAUGUAAAGUACAAAAUCUAACAUAAUAUAGAUUUAAAAAAAUUUAGUCCUUGCAAUUAUAUUUUUUUAGUUUCAGUCCCAAUAAAAAAAUUGUUUAGAUUCAAUCCAUGCAAAUUUUAAUAUUGUUGUUGAUCUUAGUCGGGAAAUACUUGGGUGCCAUAGUUUUUUGGUGUCAUUGGUGACAUAGGUUCAUUUUAGAUGAGAGAGAAUGAUGAAUGAAUAAUUAAAAUAAAUUAUUUUGAUGAGAGAGAAUAUGUUGGUAAGAGAGAGAUAGACACAAAAAUAUCAAUGACACCAAAAGGCAAUGGCACCAAAUUGCUACCCGUCUUAAUCUCUCACAUCAUACAUGACCCAAUAGAAUCACGUCACAUAGGCUAAUUAAAUAACCUAACUCACACACACACACUAGUGGACUUAUUUGUAUAUCUCGAAAUUCUAAACAUCAUUUUUCUAAAAAUUGGGGUAGAUGGAAUUUUUAAUAAUUAAAGACGACAUUAAUGAUCAUUUUACUCCUUAAAAAAUUAAUGAUCAUUUCACAAUUGUUAUCAUGGGGUUUGGCCAGGGUGCGUUUAAUUUGCUAAACAAUACUCCCUCCCGUCACUAUUAUAAGCAAAACUUUACUUUUUAGAUAUAUUGAAUAAUUAAUGUAUCUAGUUUUUAUUAUAGUAUGGAUACAUUAAUUAUUCAAUGUAUCUAAAAAGUGAAAUUUUGCUUAUAAUAGUGACCGAAAUGAGUAUACACAAGACAAAACAACACAACACAAGGCAGAACUGCACAUGACAAACUUUUAUGGUAUUGAAUAAUUUUUGGUGGACAAAAAUUUAUUUUUGUAUUUUAGAUAACUCAUACGUGAGACAAAAAAUUGUGUUGAGGUUUAGUGAGGGACAAAAAUUUCUGUUUUUGUCAUGUCCCUUGACUCCAGUUUGUGAUCCCUUCCCAAAAACAGUUUUAUAAACCAGAUACUAUACAACUGGAGUUAUCUUAUCAUGUCCUUCGUUUUUUAGCAGAUCAAACGCAUCCUUAAAGAUAAAAAGGCUAAACUUUUUUUUUCUUUCAAGAAAGGCUAAACUUUUACACAUUAUCACAUACUGUUACAAACAUCAUUUGAUUUUAAAUAAAAAGUACAAUGCCAAAACUACCAAAUAUUUAAAAUGAAAAGAAUGUUAUUAAUAUGUGUAAUUUAGUCAAUUUCAAUAAUGAAGAAUUCAUUUUUUGUUGAGAAAAAUAAUUUAGAUUGAGGGGAUGAUGCCCCAAUAUAAGACAGAAAAAAUCUUUAAGUUAAAAGAGCACUUACAAGUGUAUUUAUGUUUACCUCUUCUAAGAGAGUGCCUUCAACAUCCAUAUUUUUUUGAAUUUGAAUCCUCUCAAUUGUGAAAAAAAAAAACUUGAGAGAGUUACUGCAUGAUCACAUCUAUGCAUUUUAAUAGUAAAAUUAUCCAGAUAACUGUCACCAUUGUGAGGAUUCAAAUCCAUAUAUUUUGUUCAAUCUAUGAACAACUUUAACUAAUUUUAUUAUAUUUAAUGCUAUUAUAAAUACUCUUCAUUGAUUUAAAAUUUUAUUCUCUGAUGCAUUUUAGAAAUAAAUAUUUUUUGGCAAGUAAUAUAUAUAUAUAUAUAUAUAUAUAUAUAUAUAUAUAUAUAUAUAUAUAUAUAUAUAUAUAUAUAUAUUAUUUUGACAAAUGAGUUCAAUAAUCAUUAUAUCUUACGACCGUGUGAUUUUGAACUUCAUUCUUUGUGGAUACUAAAGUCAAACUACUUUUUUUUCUCUGUGAACUUAGUUUAGUUAUUAAGAACAAUGCAUAAUACAUCAUCCGGUCACAAAUAUAAACAAAAAUUUAUAUUUUAAAUUCAUUUAAUAAAUUAUGUAUGUUGUCUACAUGUAAAGACCACAUAAAUCAUUUAUUGAAUGAAUCUAAAACAUACAUUUUUGCUUAUAUUUGUGACCAGAGGGUGUAUAUGCAAAGUCUGGAGUUCGAAUCCCAAAAAAAAAAAUCAAAGUUUUAUUACUAUUAAUUAAUCUAACAUCUCAUAGACAAUUAAGGCUAUAUUUAAUAAAAAAUAAAAAAACAUAUUUAAUAAUAAAAAAAAUAGAUUUAAUUUAGGGUCUUUUAUUUUCAGAAGAGAACUAAUAUUCAGCAACACAUUUAAUACAUUUGAUGUAUACAAAAUAACACAAUAAGAAUGCUACAAAUACAAGAGAAGAGAUAACAUAUCUUAAGCCUCGGGUGAUGUUUGAUUAAUUUAAAAAAAUGAGAAGAAACUUACUAUAGAUAUAUAUAGUCCUAUAUAUACCGUUGCGUUGGCUGUGUGAAGAUGGAAUUGAAGAAUUAAUGUUGGGAAGAAAGUGCAUAGUUAGCUAGCAAGGUGCUAAUUGAGUUGGUGUGAUGGUUUGGUACGCAGAAGAAAGAUAGAAGUUAGAUCGUCAGGUACUUGAAAGAAUUUUCUUUCUUGAGAUUGAGUAGAUGUUCUUCUAGUUGUUACUGCUAGCCGUUGACGUUUUUUUGGAGGUGGUGGACAGACCAAGUCAAAGGAGUUCUUUGAUGGUGAUGUGGGUGGUGUGUGGUAAUAAUAAUGCUCUUCCUCUUGUACCUCCUUUCUUCUCUCUAGAUCUGAUGAUACUUCUUUUUCUUCUGUGUGUUGAUUCAAGGUAGUAAAUAUUCUAGCUUGAGGAACUCUUUGUUUGAUUGACAGAAAUUCUUCCAACAUUUCCAGACCCAUGUUGCCUGCAAAUUGCUGCUACUUUUGUGUAUGAGAAUAUUUUCCCGCGAGGUACUGUAUAAGAAGAAGGCUGCUGUGAGAGAGAGAGAGAGAGAUUAGUUAAUUUGAGAGGGUAGGGUAGUGAUGAAUGAUGAUGGGAGGUGGGUGCUGAAAGAGAGAUAGAUGCAUGAGAGAGAGAGAGAGAUAAGAAAGCCAAUCAAGGUGGGGUGUGGGUGGUGGGAAUCAUAAAUACCAACACCAAUUAAGUCUAUUACUCCCUCCGUCGUUAGAGUGUGUAAAUCCUCUUUCCUUUUUUCAUAUUUUUUUUAAAAAGUUAUCAAUAUAAUUAAUAUGUCUAUUUUUUGUAUUAAUAUUAUUAAAUUGUCCUUUAUUUAUAUGUGUAUUAAAUUUGACUUUUCAAAUUUCAAAGACAAGUUAAUAGUAUUAAUUAAGGAUAUGCUUAGAAAAAAAAUAAUAAAUGCAUCUUAUAAUUUAAAAAGGGGUUUACAUUUAGAAAAAAAAAUCAAAUCAAAUGGGUGGCUACAUUAAGAGACGGAAGGAGUAUUUAUUAGUAAUAGAGAAAAAAAUCCAAACAUUUUUUUUAUAAAAAAUCCAAACAAAAUAAUAGUAUAACUUAAGACCCCGUCUUAUAUGAUGAAUAAACAUAUAAGAUCUAACUCAAUUGAUAUCGUUAGAGCAUCUACAAUGGAGACCCUCAAUUUGAAGGUCCUAAACGGGUCCCACUUGUAUACAUCACUUUUUUAUUACUUUUUAAUAACAGUACCUAAUAAGAACUUAUUCACUCCAAUAGAGACAUUCUGGCAAAAAGUCUAAAUGGAUCCGACAACUAACUCUUCUUCAUUUACAUUCCACCACUAAUAUAUUAUUUUAAUAAAAAAAAGUGUGUGGGGACCACUAAAAGAUGGGGGUCUUAAGUUAGACCCUGGGUCUUAUAAGACCCCCAAAAAAAAAUUCCACAAUGGAAGUACCUAUUACGUACUAGGUCUUAAAUGGUGAAGACAUCACUAUUAUGUAUGUUCUUAGGUUGAACAUCUUCAUCUGUAUUUAAACUCAUGAUUUCAUAAUUGUAUUUUGUGAGUUUUGCUGGUGUUUUUUCGACUUCGUCUGCAAACAAAAAAAAAAAGACUAUAAGCAAAAGAAAGAGAGCUAAAAUUUAUUAAAUUAUUUUAUUAACCGUUGAUGUGUUUCAUACUAUCAUAAUUAUGCAAAGUGGAUUAAUAUCGUACUCCCCAGUCCCAAUUAAAGUAAGCUUUUUGCUCAUUUCAUAUUUAUUAAGAAAAAUGUAUUAGUGAAUGAAAGAGAAAAAUGAUUUUAAGUGCUCUUGAUAAGUAUUGAUGCAUUUAUCAUUAUCAUAAAUGUAAAGUAAAAUAUAUUAAAUUGAGAGUGAUGAAAGUACUAUUGAAUACAAUUAUAAUUGAAAAAAGUACUACCUCCAUUCCUUUUUAAUUGUCACAUUUUGACAUUUUACACAAACCAAAACAAUCAAUAAUUGAUGCUACUUUUACUAUAAUGACCUUAUUCAUUUAAUAUCUCAUUUCAUAUAUUUCUCUCUCCGCAAUAAAUAACUAAGGAUAAUAUUGGUAAAACAACAUUUAAUGUUGCAUUGAACUUUGAAAGUGACAGUUAAAUAGGAACAAAAAAUUUCUCUAAAAGUGACACUUAAAAAGGAACGGAGGGAGUAAUUAAUAUUGCAUUGAAAAUUAAAAUGAGUCAGUUAUUUUAAAACAAUAUUUUUUACAAAAGACUCGCUUAUUAAGGGACGGAGGUAUGUAUUUGUGAGUAAUGUGCAAAAUAUUAAUUAGAUGAUGAUAUAUAAUUAAGAAAAAUGCUUAAUUAAUUAUUUGGUCCCUUAAGUUAUUUGUUGGUUACAAUUUGGUCCCAUAAGUUAUUAACGUUACAAUUUGGUCCAUUAAGUUAGUAUAUGUUAGCCAAAUAAAUCCUCAACGUCAAUCUCUUGCCAAAAUGUUAAAUAGGCACAUGUGAACUGUUACGUGACAACUUGCAAUGUGUAUCCACCUUAGACAUUGGAUUAACGGUUUUGACGGUGAGAAUUUAUUUGGUUGACGUAAGAUAACUUAAAGGGACCAAAUUAUAACAUUAAUAACUUAUGAGACUAAAAUGUAACCAACAAAUAACCUAAGGGACCACAUCAUUAAUUAUGCCUAAGAAAAAUUACCGUAUUAAAAAUAAAAAUGACAUUUAUUUUGAGGUGUUUUUUCUUUUUUUUUUUAAAAGUGAAACUCAUUAUGAAACGGUUAGAACAUUUUUUCAUUAUUAAUUAAAGUGAUAUUAAUGAAAAUUUUACAACCGUCAUCGAGACAAUUUAAACUCAACAUCUUGAAUCUUCAAAGUUAAACUUUUACCAUUAAACUAGCUCCUCAAAUGUACUAGAUAAAACACUUAGUUUAUGAUAAUAUAAAUAUCUAAUUUAAUCUCUCAAUUAAUCAUAGAAAAUUGAAGUGCCACUGAUUCAGUUACAAUAAGUUUUGAGAUAUAAAAUCAUCUGAUUUAUAGAUAAAAAUAUCAUACAAACAAGCUUAUAGUUUUGAUUGUGCUCUUGAUUGGCCAGAUGCCCGUGCUCGAGAAACCUCUACCGAACAUAUGCCAAAUCACGAGAAAGCCCAACAAUGCUUUCUUAACCGAUAAUUGUUUUUUUUUACAUUUAAUAGUUCUUAAAAACAUAAGUAAAAUACUAAAAUAUCUCCAACGAUAGUUAAUUAUCGUUAGUUGUCCAAAACACAUCAACUAACACCGACCAUUGCCCUCAAAGGGUCUAAAGACAUAAGAUCCAUUGGAUCUAUAAUGGCCCCGACCAUUGACAUCUGAAAAAUAUUUAUUCAAAAUUUUAUAUGAUAAAUAAAAUUAAUGGCAAAAUACUUAUAUGAUAAAUAUGAAGUGAUAAAAUUUCAUUAUCAUUAUUAUUGAGUAAAAUACUUAUAUAAAUUUUUAGCAAUACAAAAAUGAUAAAAUAAUAUCAUUUUCAUUUGAGCAAAAUAUUUGAGAUUAUAAACACUACUAUUAUACAUUAGAAAAGUUAAAGACACCUUAGCAUCUACAAAUUGAGAUUGUUCUUUUCGUGUCUUUAUAUUUAAAAAGUAUUGUAGGAUAUCAAUCAAAAUUUCAUCUCAAAUGUGCUUACACAUUUGAUUUUGUAAAACUCGUGAGAGAAACUUUUUCUGAUAUAAAUUUUCAUUCAAUAAGGACAAUCUAUUAUUUUAAGAGGGGACUAUGAUUAAAAUAUCAAAAAGUACUUAACAAAUAUAACAAAAACAGUAGUGAGACAGUUGCCCCCAAUCUACUAUAAUAUAAGUAGAUCCGUCAGAGUCACUAGCCCCGAUCAUUAACAUGAUGUAACAAUUGACAUUUACGAUCAUUGAUGCUCGUCGUCUCUAACCGUUUGCAAACAUCUACUUUGACUGCCACACCAUCAAUUUUAGAAAAAAGGUUCUUAGACUACAAUUCAAGUUACAUACUAUCUAUAAUUUACAUCUCACUUUUUGAUAUGUUACUGACUUGAGAGUCGGAGUGUUUAUAGACACCUUCUAAAUAUGAAAAAUUUGUAACAAUUAAUUAAAAUUUGUUUUUAACAUCAUAAAUACUAUUUAAACAAAUAGGUAAGUUCUAAAGAUUUUUUUAAAAAAAUAUAUUAUAAAAAUAAAAAAUAUUAAAAGUUAUUUCAAAUGCCACAAAAAAUAUAAAUUAUUUUAGUUUAUUCUUAGUUUUCCUUAAAAAAAAUUGAAGUGUUUUAUUUUUAAAAAAAAAUGAACUAAACGGGACCCUAAGACCACUGGACCCCAGAAACCUUCAAUGUAGCAUACCAUCGAUCAGAAUCCAUAUUACAAAAUAACAAGAUCAAAAAUAUUAAUUACCCUAAUAAAUAUUAUUUUUUUGAGCGGAUCUUAAUAAAUAUUAUUAAACAUGUACUAUUAUAUUAUUAACCUAAUAAAUAUGAAAAAGAAAUCCAUCUUCUUAUUCCUAAACAAAGCUUUGUCGCCCUAAUUUUAACCUAAUAUUUUAGCAACUUUUCUCUCCUUCAAAACCUAACCAUAUUUCCUAAUUUCCCUCCUCCAAACCCUAACCAUGAUUUCCUAACUUCACUCCUCCUAAAACCUAUCUAAUUGAUUUCCAUAAACCAUAUCUCCUAACUCCCCUCCUCCAAACCCUCACCAAUAUAUUUUAAUCAUUUAUCCUAAACCGAGAUCUCUUUUUAAAACCAUUUCUACCUAUGUAAUUGAUUUCGAUAAACCAUAUUUCCUAACUCCCAUCCUCCAAACCCUCACCAAUAUAUUUUAAUCCUUUCUCUUAAACCGUAAUCUCUUUUUAAAACCAUACAUUUCUCUUAAACGUUCCUAAACAAAGCUUUGUUGCCCUAAUUUUAACCUUAUAUUUUAGCAAUUUUUCCCUCCUUCAAAACCUAACCAUAUUUCUUUUUAUUUAUAAACCUAACAUUGUUGCCCUAAUUCCAACUAAUAUUUAACCUAAAAAAUUAUAGCCACUUUUCUCUCCUUCAAAACCUAACCAUAUUUCCUAAUUCCCCUCCUCCAAACCCUAACCAUGAUUUCCUAAUUUCCCUCCUCUUAAAACCUAAUUCCCCUCCUUUAAAACCUAACCAUAUUUCCUAAUUCCCCUCCUCCAAACCCUAACCAUGAUUUCCUAAUUUCCCUCCUCCUAAAACCUAUCUAAUUGAUUUCCAUAUUUUCUGUUGCCAUAUUUUUUUCCUCACUUCCUCAACUCAUUUACCCUAAUAUAUUAUCUUUUAUCUUUUAUUUAUUAAAGUUAACCCGAAUGCUAAUUGUUGCCCUAAUUUAACUUAAAUUCAGUGCUUGCUUUUACUGUAUUACCCAUGUUUAAAAUAUCAAAUUGCAGAAAUCUCCUAUUUUUUUUUUUAAAAAAAAUUGUUUCCUACUAAACAGAUAAACUUAAAAAAAAAAAAAAAAUUACUCCUAUUAACAAACUGUUCCUAUUUUAUUGCAGAAAUUCCCAAUUCUUUUGAACGAAACAAAUCCCUCCUAUUCUUUUGAACGAAACAAAUACCUCCUAUUCUUUUGAACAAAACAAAUCAUUAUUUCCUGCUGCUUUUGCUAAUAGAUUUUGUUACUCGCAUCCUUGGAGGUUGACUGGUCUAAACUCACAUAGAAUUUCUGAAUCUGCUAAUAUCAUUUGUGUAAGAUGAUGAUAUAUGCAAUGAUUUUCAAUGUUUUUUCUUUCUCCACCAUGUUUUGAUCUGUAGCUUUAUUUUACAAAUUGCAGAUUUUGUUGAUGGAAAUGUGGAUUUGGGGAUAUGCAGGUAUGUUUGUUUAUUUCACUUUCAUUAUGUAAUUGUUUCAUUCUAAUUAUUAUUUUUUCUUCCCUUUUUUUGAGUUUGUAUAGAAGUUUUUUUUUUUUUUUUUUUAUAAAAUUGCCUCACUUUCUCUGAUGGUUCCCACUAUGUCGUUGGAUUUAUCACCAAGAAGCUGGAAGGGUUGGUUCUAUCCAGAAAGUUGCAGAUAGGCUUCGUUGUUACACUUGGUCAUGACUUCUUCAUCUCACUUCAAAAUUGCAAGUGCGUUUUCUCUCUCCAUGCGAAAAUUAUUAGCUUAUCUUACAAUGGAAUUGAUUUAAUUAAUUAAUUCAUUAUGUAUGUAACAAACAGGGCUCCACAAUGAUUUAAUUGUUUCAUUCUAAUUUAAUUUUUGUGUUUAUAUAGAAACAUUGUUAUUGUGUUAACAUUGAGAAGAAAAAUCAAAUGGAUUUUUAGCUGCUCCUCCUCUUUUCUGUGACUAAGGUUAACCACACAUCUUUCUUUCCAUUCAAUUCCUCUAUUGUACAAAAUAGCUUGCAACAGCUUUUUAGGCUUCUUACAAAAUCAAAGUAAUUGUUAUAUAAUUGGUGUGGGGUUUAGUUUGUUGAUUUUGCAAUUCAGGAAUUUUCAAAUUCGGGGUUGAAAUAAGAGUAUGAGCAUUUGUUUAGUUUGAUUUUUGGUUAUUUGUAAUCCGAUGACUUUUUGAAUUGGAUUGCUAUCUAAUUUAUUAUCAUCUCUUUUUUUGUUUGUUAUAUUCUAGAAGGAGAUUUAUGCGGUGGUGGUUGUUGCAAGAAGGCCCUCGCGGUGAUAAUUUAUACGGUGGUGGUUGAUUAUACUGAUGUGACUGUGUCUUAGAUAUCCCCUGAGCUAUGCAAACUACAAAUUAAGUUGUAAACUAUGAUUCAUAUCAUUGUUUUAAUAAGGAUUGGCCCAAUGCUUCAUGUGAUAUUCUAUUGGCUGAAUAAGGAUCUAUCUAAGCAUAUGAUUGUGUCUUCAAAAUAUGCUUAACUUACCAUUAACUAUAAGCAUGAUCAUUGCAAAACAUUAAUUGUAAAUCAUACCUUACCUACAUAAUAUAGCUAUAUAUUUCAUGUUAUUUUAAUUUACGGUUUUUAUGUGAUGUUGAACUCCUAAAUUACUAAUAUAUUGUGCUCAUCAUUGACCCGUGUGGUAGCACGGGUUAGCAAAUUAUGAGGUUUUGCUUGACAUGAAGGCAAUUUCCGUUAUCUGUCGUCUCAUUUGCAAUGACUAUUAACAAGAGUCAGGGUCAGUCGUUGAAACAUGUUGGUGUUUAUCUACCGUCUCCUGUUUUUUCACAUGAUAUUCUAUUGGAUGAAUAAGGAUCUAUCUAAGCAUAUGACUGUGUCUUCAAAAUAUGCUUAACUUACCAUUAACUAUAAGCAUGAUCAUUGCAAAACAUUAAUUGUAAAUCAUACCUUACCUACAUAAUAUAGCUAUAUAUUUCAUGUUAUUUUAAUUUACGGUUUUUAUGUGAUGUUGAACUCCUAAAUUACUAAUAUAUUGUGCUCAUCAUUGACCCGUGUGGUAGCACGAGUUAGCAAAUUAUGAGGUUUUGCUUGACAUGAAGGCAAUUUCCGUUAUCUGUCGUCUCAUUUGUAAUGACUAUUAACAAGAGUCAGGGUCAGUCGUUGAAACAUGUUCGUGUUUAUCUACCGUCUCCUGUUUUUUCACAUGGACAGUUGUACGUCGCAAUAUCACGGGUUACUUCGAGAGGUGGUUUAAAAAUAUUGAUUAAUGACGACGACGGCGAUGAUAUCGAUGUUGCAUCAAAUGUGGUCUACAGAGAAGUUUUCCGUAAUGUGUAGGACUUUUUUGUGUACUGUUCAUUUUCUUACUUAUUGAAACUAUUUGCAUGUCAACGAACUUCAAUUUCCCUUUCAAAAUUAUAUGUUAUUUUAAAGUAACAGGAACUACGUACUAGAAUUAUGGAACAAUAACAAAGUCUUUGAUAUUGACAUUAUGCUUUGAUUCACGACAAUUUUUAGAUUCACGCGAACUACAGUGUCUUAUUUUUUCAGUGAAUAUUAUCUUUUUUAAAUGACAUGUGCGUUAGCACGGGUCAAUGGUCUAGUUAUUCUUAAAAGUUGUUAGGUUUGCACUUUGCAACCACUAAACCCUAAAAUUUUGGCUCUAAUUUGGUAGCAUUAAAUGCUAAUUAGGUUAACUCCAAAAAUAUUUCCCUCCUAAAUCCAAGCCAGUUUGAAUUUUUCCUAAAAAUAAGUGAAAAAUCGUUGGCAUUUUAAUUAGACUUUUAAUGGAUUGAGUGAUUGAGGAUAUCCAUGCGUGUGUUAUUGGAAUACGCUUAUUGUCAAUGCCAUGCCAUGGAAAACAUAUAGUUUUGUUCUGAAUGAGAAUUCACAUCUUCCCAAUACAUCGCUCUUCACUCUCCUAAUUUUGAAUUUCAAAUUUGAAUCUCUAAAAUCCUUUAUUUAUCUCUCUGUACACAGCUAUGUCCCCCUCUCUCACACACACUUCUGUUGAAGGAGAAGAAGAUAGGAUACACCGCAACCUCCGACCACUCUCUUCCUUUAUUUGUUCUACCUUCCCGCUGUUGCCCCUCACCAUUUCCAGAACUUUCGUUUUCCAUUUCUUCUCUUCAUAUUCGUUACCAAAUACAGACAACAUGAGACAGAAGCUAGGUUCCCCAAGGCCCAUAGAAAUUGUCCUAAUGAAUAGUGUCAGAUGAAUUUGAGAUAAGGUCUUUCUUUCUGAUUGAAAAUCUUGAGUGUUGUGAGAUUUUAUCCUUUUCCUGUUAAAAGUUUUUUUGUUACAUAUUCGAUUUUUCUAUUGAUUUGGUUAUAGGUGCAAUCACUACUUUAAGACAGUAAGUCAAUAUCAUCUUUUUAUUUGGCCUGGAUUUUGUAAAUUCUGCACUUUGCAUGUGUUUGGCCAGAUUUUUAAACAUUUUGAUUUGGUCUGUUUUUUCAUAACUAUUUGCCCUAGAAUUUCUGUUUUGAUCACUUAAUGGAAUUCUGGGUUAUGGAUGUGAUUUGAGUUAUCAUGGAUACUUACUGAUUUACAUGUUAAAUUUUAUAUAUUGAUUAUUUACUUUAUGAAAUGACCAAAUAUUGAAUUUCUAUUAGUGUCAAUUCUGCACUACCGGUAUCAAAAACACAAUUCUGCAUUUUUUUUCUUUUAUUGGCCAUAUUUAUUCAUCUAACAUAAUUAUUUCAAAUAUUUCAUCAGGUUGGAAUAUGAUGCAGUCUUAGAUGCUGAAUAUUAAUCUGUUUAAUUUAACAUAGUUUUGGCAUACCUUUCUGUUUUAACUUUGUAGAAGAGGCUUUAUUUUUGGAAGAGAAGUAUUUCUUGAUGCCCACCGGUGAAAAAAUAAUCACUAUGUUCCAGUAAUGAUACAAGAGGGUUUGAUGGGAUAAUUAUAAACAAAACAUCUUCUCUAUAACUAGAAUCCUUUCAGGUCGUCCUCAGGAGUCAGAUCCAUGAAUAUGGUUGAGAUAAUAUGUACGAAGGGAAAGAACAUUAUACAUAAAGGGUUACCAAUUUAACUUUUUUGUUUGUUUGACAUAUUGUGUGCUUGAAAUGCAAAGAUUGGCCGACAAACUACUAAUGUAUAGCUUGAAUAUAUUUUAUUUUAAUGGUUACAUAUAUAUCUAUUGAGAUUAUUUUACAGUUUUGUUUGAUGAAUUUGUUUCUUGAAAUCUUUAUAUAUAACAACAUUUACUUAAAAGUUUUUCUGCACUGUUUUGUUUACUAUUAUUGUUGUGUCCUAUGAUAACAGAAGAACUGAUAGUCACAAAUUCAAUUGUCUUCUAAUUAUCAGUUUUUAAUAGUUUAAGUUACAUCUUAAUUUGGAAUUCACAAUUACAAGUGAAGAUAGAAUGAGUUUCAAAUAAUUUCAUGCUACUUAUACAUUGAGGGAAUAUAUUACGGAUCCGCUCCACAAAAUUAUUAGGUGUGGUACUGUCAUAUAUUCUCAUAAGUUUGAACUCAUCUCCAUUUAUCAAAUUUCUUUUACAUUCUAAACUGCGGUGUUUUUUUUAUUUGGCAUUUGUUAAUGGCAAAGUCACGAAAGCUCUUGCGAAUAAAUUCAACAUAGUUUAUCAUCAGACUUUAUUGUUAUUAGUCUCUGCCAAUUUUAUUAGCUAUGAAUGUGGGAGACAAUUUUCCCUUUAAAAACUUAUGAAGCAAUUUAAUGGUAAUCUGAUAUUGCUGCUUACUUUGUCUGUGUCUUGAUGCUUCAUUGUUUUAGACGGAAUGAAUUGAGGUUUUUAAGGUUUAAACUCUAGUUCUAAAGAAGAAUUACAGUUAAAAAUUUAGGAUCAUCAUAAUUUAGAGAAUGUGAAGACAAUUGAUGCAGUAUGAUAUUGAUGAAACUAUGUCGUAGUUUCAAGAAGGAUCUCUGGACCGCACACGUCAAACAAUAUAUAAUGUAUAUUUUAUAAGUUGAUAUUAGAUAAUUAGGUGAUUGUCGAAUUAUAUGUUUCGUUACGGUUACAACUUCGAAUAUUUGAAUGAGAGUCAUUGUCGUAUGUAAAGUUGUUAUUCAAUGCAGUUAAUGGCAAAGUCACUAAAGCAAUUUGCUAUUUAUACGCUUUAUACUAUGUUACUCCAUGAAGACAUACACUUUAUACUAUGUUACUCCAUAAAGACAAUUUCAGUUUAAUUGAGUAUCAAAUUUCUUUUCCAUUCUAAACUGCGGCGUUUUUUUAUUUGUCCGUUAAUGGCAAAGUCACUAAAGCUAUUGAACAUUCAACUUUAUAUGUAGCCUUAAUUGUAUUGAUCUUUAAUCUGCAAAUAAAUGGAUUGGUUUGAUAUCAGUGUAAUCCUUUUGCAAAUAGUUAAUUUCAAAUAACAUGAAAUGCAGUAUCGUUUUUAUAAUUUACUUAGUUAUAGCAAUGGUUCGGAUUACUAACUGUGGCUCCUAAGUAGUAAUAAAAAAUAUUACUUUUUAAGCAUUAAUAACAAAUUAGUGCAAAGAUCUUAUAAACUAUUACAUUUUAUCGUGUAUCAAAAAAAAAACUAUUACAUUUUAUCGGUAUGUAAAGAUUUUCAGCUCAUAAGACUCGUGCGGUGCACAGAUCAUCAAUCUAGUAGUACAAAAUAAAAGUAAGUGUUGAAAUUUAAUUUAUACACGGAAUUGGAUUCAAUUUAGUUCGAUUUCAAAAAUAAUUAAUGAUCCAAAAUUCAAGUAUUUAAGGAUAGAUAGUUCCUUCCUCCUUCAAAAAAAAAAAAAGGAUAGAUAGUAGCAUUAUCUUUGAAAAAAUGUACACGACUUGAAAUAUAUUUUUUGGUUGAAAGGAUUGUUAAAAAGGAUGUGAUUGAUACUACUGAACUACCUGCAGAUAUAGCAAAAGCAAUGGAAAAAGAAGAAGCAAAACAUAGGUUAGUGGUGUUGUUGUACACUUGUACGUGUAUGAAAGUGAGUGUUAAUCUCUUUGUUUUGUUGCACUUGCACAUCAGAAUAGCCUUCGUCUGAAAAAUACCACAAAAUUAAAAAAUAAAUGAUAUUUUUCUUUAGAAUAGAAACAUGUAUCUGUAUGUCUUAUAUUAAGUGGAUAAUUUAUAGUGUAGAAACUCAUAUAAUCAAAAUAGUUUGGUAGCAAUUUAACUUCAUAUGGUUUAUAUUUAGAUAAAUUUAUGGGAAAAUGAGUUAAUUUCUUUACCUAAAAAUAUCAAUAAACUGUAAAUUGUUCAUGUUAAUACGAAUGUUAAUUGACAAUGAAUUUAUAUUGAUUUUGUUUAAGCGAUGUGUCACAAACUCACAACAUUCUUUUUUUUUUUUUUUAAAAAAAAUUUCUGACUGUCACACAAUAUUCUUAACUAUGAUACGUAGAAGUAUGGGGCGGAGGAAAUUAAGUAUUAAUUUAUGCAUGGUUGGUAGAAAUAGUCAAUAUAAGGCAUUAGUAACCUCUUUCCAUUUUUCCUAUAAAAAUCAUAGAAAUCCCCAAAAUAAAGCCCUCUAGUGUUUGGCAUAUAUUUUAAACAUAGUUGACAUCCAAAACCACCUUCAUUUUAAACAUAGCCUAGCCCCAUACCAUAUUUGCAUGCCCAAGGUAAAAUGUUACUCCAACAUUCCUUUUAGUACGUUAGACACGUUUGUUCCAUAUAUGAAUAUGUGGAUGGUUUCAAGUCCAUCUUCUUGCAUCACGGAUAAGCAUCCUAUGUGUGAAGGAAAUAGUGCUUAGCUCCUGGUAGGUUGCACAUCGUAAUCUCAUAAAUCAUUAUCAUAGUCCAUAGACGUGAGCCUCAAUCACACAAAUAUAGGAGGAAUUUUGAGGUUUUGGUGAUUUUAAUAAUUUAAAAUGCAUGGGAAGAAGUCUAACCAACAAGGUAUCCGAUAAUUUUUUUUCAUAUAUAUAUAUUUAUAUACUAUUAUAAGGAAGAUGCUUCCAUUUAUUAGGAUAUUAUAAUAUUGUUGCGUUUGAUUUGUCAUGGUUCUAACUCAUGAUCACAUGCAUUUCACACGGAGCUAAACUAAUCCAAUCGACUAAAUAACAUUGAUUUUGGUGGGUCAUGGCCAAUUUUUAAGAUAAUGCUCACAUGGUUCAGCCUUGUCUGUUUACUACUUUACUAAAUUUAUUUUCAUAUUUAAAAAAAAAAAAAAAAACCAAACAAACGUCCAUGAAAAUUUUAAAAUAAGAGUUCAAUUUUAAUUCACUUUUAAGGCAAAUUUUUACGUACAAUGUCAAGAAAAUACAUUCAAUUAUAUGUGUGGUUUUAUUUACAAUGUCAAGAAAAUUUAAUAUCCUAAUUAAUUAACCAUCGAAGUCAUUUCAUAUCUACUAUACUGUUGUUUAACUGAACCGGCAGGUAGAUAAGGAAAAAACAUACUUGGUAAUAUUAAACUAAUAUUAAUAUCGCAAACUUAAAGACCCGAACCAGUUAGAUACAAGUUCGUUGGCAUAUAGUUAUCGACCUACCAUAAAAACCAAUAUAUGACACAGUUUUAUAUAGCCUUGAUUUGGUUGGUCAUGGAAAUACGAGGUCAGUUGCAGCUUCUUUAAGAUCAUCAACAAAUAUUGCUCUAGCUGUAAAUAACCAAGUGAAAAGAGUUUCUUCAGGAGUACUUUUUUCUUCUUUUCUUGAAAAAGCCAAAAAGAAAAUAAAUGAAAAGCUAACAAUCAAAGUACAAGAAAUGCUAGGAUUCUCGGAUUGAAAAGUUUUUUUUUUUGUCAUUGAAAAGUUACAAAGUUAUUAAUACAUAAACAAUACAAAAAAAAAAAUGGUACCUCGAAAAAAAAAUAUGAAUAAAGUUACACUUAAAUAUUUGAGUGGUUGAAUAUUUCAUUAAUAAAAAUCAUAAAAGAUUGUACCAAAAAAAAAAUCAUAAAAGAAAAAAAAUUAGCUUUGCGCUUAUUCAAGGGUUUUUUCUAAAUUACCUUAGAAGAAUGGUGGGUAAUUUACCCACCAAUCAAUGAAAAUGAGCAAUUUAUUUGUGGGAUCAAAAUAGUUCAUGAAUAUAUGCUUAUGUGGCUAAUGUGUAUUGGUUGGGGUAAAUUACCCAUCAUUCUUUCAUGGGUAGCCUAGUUGCCACCGGUUCGGAGUUCAAACCCCAGCCACAAAAAAAAAAAAAAAAAACCAAACUAGCCAUUUUACUAUAUACUAGAUUUUUGACCCGUGCUCCGCUCGGGUUUAUUGUAAAGGGAUUGACAUACAAAUAAUAAAAUGCAAUAUAUAAUUGGUAACGGUGAAAAAAAAAGUUGUUAGGUCUCGUCUUUCCAUUUGCAAAGCUCUAAAUAUAAAAAUAUAUGAUUUUUGUAAAGGGAUUGACAUACAAAUAAUAAAAUGCAAUAUAUAAUUGGUAACGGUGAAAAAAAGAAGUUGUUAGGUCACGUCUUUUCAUUUGCAAAGCUCUAAAUAUCAAAAUAUAUGAUUUUUGUGUUGUGUGUUAAAUUUUUACACGGUUUAGGGUUUUUUUUUUUAAAGAAACAGUUUACGGCUUGGUAUAUAUAAUCAAGUUUACAUGGAAAUUACGGAAGCUGAGUUUGCAUGGAAAUUGGGGUAUUCUGUUUGUAAACAUAUUAAAUAAGUGUAGAAAAUAUUGUCAAAAAAAAAAAAGGCAACAGUAUAGGAAUGAAAUAAAGGCAUGAAAUUGGUUCAAAAAAAAAGUGUACAAAAUAUUGUCAAAAAAAAAACAUGAAAUUAGUGCGAUGAAUUUUUCUAGUAUUUGUGUACAAAAUGUUGUCAAAAAAAAGGCAAGAGGAUAGAAAUGAAAUUGGUGCGACCAAUUUUUAGGUACAAAAUAUUUUCUUAAAUAAGAAAGUGUACAAAAAAAAAAUCCAAAAGAAAAAGUAUAAAAUAGAAGGCAUCAAACGUGAUCAUUGAUAUGCUCAUAGUUUCUAGAGAAAACGUGCAACAUCAAAUAAGUGUAGAAAAUAUUUCCUACAAAAAAAAAAAGGCAAGAGGAUAGAAAUGAAAUUGAUGCGACCAAUUUUUUUAGGUAUAAAAUAUUUCCUUAAAUAAUAAAGUGUACAAAAAAUUGUCAAAAAAAAGUAUAAAAUAGAAGACAUCAAACGUGAUCAUUGAUAUGCUCAUAGUUUUUAGGACAAACGUGCAGCAUCAAAUAAGUGUAGAAAAUAUUUCCUUCAAAAAAAAAAGGCAAGAGGAUAGGAAUGAAAUUGGUGCGAUGCAUUUUUUUAGAUGAAAUUUGUUAGGUUAAAUAAUUACAAACCUAAUAAAGCAAAUGAGCGGGAAAAAAUUAGGAUAAAUUAAUGCAGACCUAAUAAAAUUAAUAAAUAAAGAUAAAGGUGAACUAAAGACAAAUGUUACUCCUAUAAUAACGGUUACAUUUGCAAAAAAAAAUAUUUGUUCAGAAGAAUGUUAGUUUUCUUUUUAAUAUUAUUUUUUAAUUAAAUUUUUUUUUAAUUAUAUCAUCUAAUUAAUGCUAUUUUUGUUGAGUGGCUAGAAUUUGACGUUGAAAUAUUAAGGGAUGAAGUAUAAACCCCAUCAAAGAUAGUUGUAUUAUUGUCACAUUAAUUAAUAAUAAUUUUGAUAAGAAUAAAAAAAAACUUCAUAAUAAUUUCUCUCUCCUUCAAUCUUAAUUUAGAAAACUUUUUACAUGAUUUCCAACUUAUCAUUCUCUACUUCGCAUUUUUUGAAGAAAAAAAAUAGGCAAAAUUACACAAUUAGUCGCUUAACUUUAUUUUAGGUAAUAUUUUCGUCCUUUAUCUUUUUUUGUCACGAUUUAGUCCUCUAUGUUAUAAAAUAACAACAUAGUUAUCCUUUUUUAUGAAAAAAAUAAUCAAAAACUCCAAAAAAAAAAAUCAUCAAACUCAUAGGCAACGCAAAUCUUCAUCAUACAAGCCUAGAAAAUCAAAUUUCUUUGAAAAAAAUCUCAUAAAAAAUGAUAAGAUAUUGUCAUUUUAUAACAUAAACGACUAAAUCGUAACCAAAAAAAAAGAUAAAGGACGAAAGUGUUACCUAAAAUAAAGUUAAGAGACUAAUUGUGUAAUUUUGCCAAAAAAAUAUUUCAGUGUAACAGUAGGAGCAUACAAUCUAAAUGGGGUGCAGAAAGUAACACUGACCAACCAAAAUAUGCCCAAACCAACAAUGUAUGAAAAUAUUAUAAGACAAUAAGCGCAAACAUUUCUUAUUAGCACCUUUCUUCGUAGACAAUUGCUCUUUACACUUCAUGAAAUUCUAUCCCACACCUGAACAUGGCCAAAAUGCCUCAAACAUCAUUUAAUUGUCGUUCGCUCUUAAACUGAAUGCAAAGGAGCGAACAAAAGUUAACUGUCUAUGGGGAUUCGAGGUCAUUUUAUGGUGCAAAGAGCAAUUUUGUUAGUGAGAAGAAUAAUUUUCUUCUUUGUAUGGUUGCUCAAUAGACACUUUCGAAAUUAAGAGUGAUAUCAAUAAUACAUAUCUCAUUUCGAUAAGUUUCCACCUUUGGAGAAACUAGAGGUUAGAAUGGUGGUAGCAUCGUAUUUGAGUGGUCGUAGUACCAUAUCGAUAUUUUGGAAAAGUUAAAUGUUAGAAUGAUGAUAACACAAUAAUUGAGUGGUCUCAUUACUAUAAUAGAAUGGUCAAAGUCAUAUUAUAGUGGUUUCAGUUAAUCACACAAUUGUAGCUGGACUUGUAUCAUUUUGAAGGCAACAUGGUUGAUAGUCUUGCACAAUUUUGGGCAGAGUCACAAAACGUCUUAAAGAGAGCGAUAUGAUCGUGACUCAACCUAGUUAUAAUUUUGAUGGAUGAAAAUUCAUUUUCAAAAUAGAUUUUUGAAAUUCAAAAUAUAGCAAUUUAAAAAUCCAAAAACCGACAUCUUUUAUGCAUGAUGAAUCGACACUACAUGUAUUUUGUUAUUUUGGAUUGGUAAAGGAUGUGAGAUCAAGCUUUGUUUCAGGGAUGGAUAUUUGCAAAAAGUUAGUAUGUAUCCACUAAUUCAUUCAUUACACUAAUUAUGCAAUAUAGGUUCAUACUAUCUUUGAUGUUAAGAAGUCCCGAUUGCCAUUUGGAAAAAAAAAUCGCAUUGGUACGUUCAACUUCAAAAUGUUUGAGGGACGAUGUUUCUAGAAUAUAUGGUAUGUUGUAGUAUAUCUAUGUGAAAUAUUAGGCACACCAUCUUCAAUAGGGUUUGAGCUUUGACCAUUUUGGAAUUCUUGAAGCGCAUGGAUAACUUGCGUCAACUAUCCAAUAUGAGAAGUUGAUAUCAUCAAUUUUGGACUCUCUUAGCCCUAGUAUGAACUAAAUUAAUUGGGUCAUGAUAUAUGUAGUAAUUUUGGACUAUAUCUAGGGAAACAAAAAAGAGGAAAUACUUCUAUUUCUAUGAUUAAUCUUCACUAGUCUUGUCCUGUUUUUGAUCUUUCGAAUAAGCAUCGUUUGUUUUGUUUGGAAGGAAUGUUUACCUUCCAAAUAAUUUUGAGAGUUUCUUUGAAUCUCCAAGGUUUAUUCUCUUAUUAUUCACUCCAAUCAUGAAUUAUAUAUUGACUAUUUUGAGUGAGUAUUUAUCAUCUCUGGAGUAAUCUCAGACAAGGGAGCUUGUUUGGUUUAACUCAUAUAAAGUAUUCUAAAUGAUUUUCACAUAGAAAGAAGGAAAAAAAAAAGCUAAAUUAUCUUUUUGAUCCUCUAACUAUUUAAUUGGUAUCAGAUUGGUCCUCUAACUAAAAAUUGAUUUAUUUCGGUCCCUUAAGUUUCUCACCGUACAUACUUUGGUCCUUUUCGUUAAAUUUAAUUAAAAACCGUUAGGGUUGAUCAAUUUCUGGAAAAUAGGAAGAACACCAUCAACAAAACAAAACCCAAAACCCAGCAACAAGAACAAACAAUAACAAAACCCAUCAUCAACAACAACUCAGCAAUAACAACCUACAAUAACAAUCCAGAAACAACAACAACUAGAAAAAUGAGUAGCAAAAACAACAUAUUAGGAUUUGUGAAAGUUGGAGGAUCAGAAGAAGAAGAAGUUUGGGAGAAAUUGAUAUCUCAACCCAAAUCGAUUGAGAAAUAGAGUUGAAGUUCUCUGAAUUUCUUUGUACCAUUUGCUGAAACCAAAAUUUGAAUUUGAAUUUCUUUGUAUCUCUGGAUCUUAAAAAUCUGUAAAAUUCGAAUUUGGGGGUGAACCGAAAUUGAAAUGGAAUUGGGGGUGAGUGAAUUAGGGAAGGUAAUAAAAUAGAAUUUGAGAGAGAGGUCAUGGGAGAGGAGAGAGGGAGAGAAAGAAUUUUAUUGGUUUUUUCUGAUUUUUUCUUAUGAGUUUUAUGUUGGAUGUUUUUAUGAAGGUGAAUGAGGAAGAUGAUGAAGAAGUUGAAUAAAGAUGAUGAUCUAACAAACCCUAACGUUUUUAAAUUAAAUUUAACGGAAAUGACUAAAUGUAGUAACGGUGAGAAACUUAAGGGACCAAAAUAAAUCAAUUUUUAGUUAGAGGACCAAUCGAUAGCAAUUAAAUAGCUAAAGGACCAAAAAGGUAAUUUAGCCAAAAAAAAACGCAAUUUUGACGUUGCUGAAUGAUUUUUAUAAUUUUUCAAAGACAUGUGUGAUUAUUUUUCAUCAUUUUAAAAGGUUUAUAUAUAAUUUAUUUUUUUGACAUAUUUUUUGAAGGAUAAAAGCUAUAUAUAUAAUAACACGAAAAAGAUAGUAUUUUUCAUUUAAUCCACUUGCUUACAAAAUAUUUUUUCAAAUUGAGUGUUUUUAAAUCUAGGAAGGAAAUUUUACACAGAAAAUUAUUACAUUUCAUCAAUAAUCAAGGAAUUAAUAUAUGUUGAAUUCUGAAUUACUAGAAUCUGUUUUUUAGAAUCGAAGAGUUAACACCGAGAUAUUUACUAAAAUUUUAGAAAAGAACUAAGAAAAAGUAAAAAGGUGGCCACUUUAGCUUAUGAAUAAACAAUCAUGUUAGCUAGUCUCCUAAUGAACUCAACUGUAUUAGGGUUAAGGUUUGUUGCAAGAAGAUAAUAACCUAAGACAUUCAAAAUAGAGUAGAGUCAAAUUCAAUGACAUCUUGAUCAACCUUUUUGAUCCCGUCCACGGUUGUUUUGACAUAUAGCUCAAGAAUAAUAAUCUUCAUAUUGAGAUCCUAUAUCCAACUUGAUAAGAUUAGGCCAUAGUCAUGUGCGCUCUAACGUUUGGAAGGGGUGGUGACAGUUUAGAAAGAUUUCUAGUGCAAGUUGCAAAGAUAAAUUGGAGAAGGCAUGAUGGUACACUUCUAAAAUGAUGUUUAGAUUUCGUCAAAAUUCCUCCUUGAGGAAGUCGUUAACGAGCCUACUAUAGUGAUUAUGAGUCAUUACAAGUGGUGUGGUAGAUUAUUCUAAUGGUCAGAAGAAAUUACUAGAGAGAUUUUCUAGCACUGUUUGCUCUUAAUAUUAUGCAUGAGAUUGUGAUUUGUUUUCCUCGUAAAUUUAACUCAGUUAAUAGGAAGAAUACAUAAUAUAUGUAAGGUUCGGGUUCAAACUCCGGUCACCACAAAAAAGAUUGCGAUUUGUUGUGCAGAGCAGAUGACUGAUCAUCGGGAUUGAUAUUGUUAGUUGGGGACUAAAUUCAUCUGGUGAGUGUAUAGUACAUUGAUCCAAAAUUAUAUAUGUGAGCAUAUUAGAGCAAGCUAGCAUUGAAAUCGGUCCAUAUUGAUAUGGACAACCCUGAUUCAGUGUAUUUAGGAGUAGGACAACCCCAUACAUUGGUCCGUAUGUGACUUGAAGGGACCUGGUCUAUACCAUUGAGAAAAUGGACCCCUAGGCUAGUCCAUAUGUCCCGAUGUCACCACACUCUAGAGCAAGCUGGCAUUGCAAAACUAAGUUGAACAUAAUUUGGUGUGAACAAUGAAUUCACCAAACCUUGUCCUAACUUUAUGAGAGCUUUUUACCCUGACCCUUAGAUCCAUAUCGACGAAAGAGCCUAACAUCAAAAGGAACCAUAUAUGCCACCUAAUACCAGGCUACCAGCUUUGAUCAGUGUCAUUCCUUUUCACAAAUAUCCAAACAAAACUUGAAUCAUUACCAUGUGGAUUGUUCAUCAAAUUUCAACUUUUUUUUCUUUCAAGCAAUGCAAUCUUGAAUACAUUGUUUCUAUAUUUUAUAUCUAAUAAUUGUUUGGAUAUAAUAAUAAACCUAAAUUUAUCUGUGAAGUAUGAUUUGGUCCUUCAUAUAAUUUAAUGUUGACUCGAUUUGGUCUUUCAUAAAUGGACAUUACAAAGGCAGAUUUGAAUCAGCUGGAAGGGGGACCCACUUGGACACCAAUCGACAUUCUAAUGGACCAAAACUGAAAUGUCCACACUCUACUAUUCUCUUUUUCCAACUUUACCCUCAUAUUCAAAAUUCAUCUUUGACUUUGUUUCCAUUCGCACUCUUUCUUUUCAACUCGUGGUUAUGGAAUCUAUACUUUUCUUUCAACUUGGAUUAGACUAGAUCUCCGAAUAAUAUACUAAAUCAAUUAAAUUAAAAAAAAA